UUUUUUUUUUUUUUUUGAAAAGUGCUUUUAAAAAUUACUUGCAUUAAGAGAAUCAAAAUACCUUCUUUUAGAGAUCAAUUGAAAUCUCACUUUUAAGUGAGAUUUUAUUUCUAUUAGAAUCAUUUUUUAUUUCAUUCUCAUUAUCACUUGAAUUACCCAAACACGAGAAUGGAUAAUAAAAGAAAUAAGAUGUCCAUUUUUACACGUCCAUUCUUACCCUCUCAUUCCCAUGUAUGAAACAUUCCCUAAUAGUAUGAGAUGCAAUACCUAAUCAUUGGAAAAAAAAAAAACCAACAACCUAGAUUAGUUAAGGUAGUGGUGGAUGUACCUUCUCAACCAAUGGUUACCGCUUGUAAGUAUCGAUAGUUGGAUGUGAGUUAAUAGGCCUAAUCCACCUAUAAGCUAGAGCCUAAACACCUUUGUAAUGGGUCCACAAUGAGUUGAACGAUUCUUGGGAUAGUUGGAAAGGUAGCAAUCGAACAAGACAUAUGAGCAAUGGUAGAGCGUAUGAUGAAUUCCCAUACGAAGCAUCCCAAAGGACAGUUUAUUAAGGAACAUCCGACGGAACCACCUAAGCCAUAAGCCCACAAAUCACAAAUACCAAGGACCAACCUACCCAUAAGCACAUACGAGGAACUAAUUCCAAAGCAUAGAAAUAAGAAAGUACCUUUACAAAUCUACCAUGUGUCGCUUGAAGUAAGUCAGACCAACUAACAACAAAUCAGUAAAAAGGGUACUUCCUAAAAGAAAGGUUGAUCUGUGCCUCCACCAAUCAAAGCUCGCAAUUAAGGAAAACUAUAAAAACAAACAUCGAAUUAGAGAAUGAGGCAAGUAAAAAAAAGGAAGAAGACGAGGAGAAUUUAGGUGAAGUCCCCCACCCUUUGUCUUUGAAGCUACAAACACCCGAAGACACGUGAUAUUCAUCAACCAUUGAUGUGAGACCUAGAGGUUAUGUCGUUAUAGUACUUGCAUGGCAAUAAAGGAUUUGUAAGGAAAGCAACUCGAAUACCUUAGGGGUCAAUAAUCAACAUUGUCAAUGCAUGGUUUAAAUCAUUUCUAAGCCACCUUGAUCGGUAAAACUAAACAAUCGAUCGAUACCCCUUGAGUCAUUUACGAUUUUGUAAAUUUUUCAAAUUUUAAUCAAAAUAGAGGAGAUAAAUCAACUAUAUAAACUCAUUAUUUUGAAGGGAAAAAAAAACCUUUUUAAAUAUUAACUUAAUCAAUUUGAGCUUAGGUUUUUUUGCAAAAUAAUUUUCAUCUCAUUUAUAAAAUUAUAAAACCAAUUUAAGUUCAUUUUUGGAUGAAUUAAGGUGCAUAAAUAAAGCUAUAAUGCAAUAUGAUUUCAAUGCAUCAAUCAAUCUUACGAAAUUAUAUCAUAUGGUUUUUAAAUGCAAAUGUCAGCAAGAUUGCAAAAAUAAAAUAAAAAUUAAAAAAAUAAAAGAAAAAAAGUACAAGUGCAAUCAAAGAUACACUUUAUAAAAAUAAAUAAAUAAAUAAAAUAAUUCCAAAGAAAAAUAACCUCUUUGAAAAAUCUUUAUCUCACACCAACUUUCAAACUCUGUAAAUUAAUUGGAACAACGCCGGUCCAACUGUGCCAUCAAAAGUAAAGACAGACACUGACCUCAUGACCAAAUUCUGAAUAAAUUUCAGCUUUCUACUCACUCAAACGUUUGAUAAAUUGAUGAGAAAGUUGACGGGAAUUUGAAAGCUUUUAAAACACAAACGCAGAGAUGUACAAAUUUGAGGUGGGAAUUCAAAACUUCAAAGAAAAAGAAGGAAAAAAGACAGCAUCUGCAACGGUACAAUUGGAGUCGGUCACGUCAGUGGAUAUUCCGUAGCUUCCAUUGUCCAACAGUACGUUACAAUUUACAAAAUCUAUCCGUUAACGGAUUUCAUCAUCCCGUAGCCAAUCGGAGAUGAGAGACAAAUGAAAGUGUCACGCCGCCCAAUCACUAAUUGGACUCUUCAUCCAUUUAAACGUUGAAAAUUGGCUUUAGCAACUUUUUGAAUGUGAAAAGUCAUUUUCCCUUUUAAAUUCCUUUUCAAAAUAUUUAGCUUAUGUUUGGGAAAAAAUAAAUGUUAAGAAAAAUAUUUUUUUCAUGUUUAAUUGUAUUAUGAAAAUUAUUUGAAAAAUUAAAAUUAAUAAAAAAUUAUGUAUUUUCAAAUUAUUCAAUCUUUAUAUGAAAGAAUAAAAAUAAAUUAAGUGAGUUUGAAAUGAUACAAAAAUAAUUUAUUGAUUUUAAAUUUUUUUUUUGUUUUUUUUUAUAUUUUCUUUUAAAUUUUUUAAGAACCAAACAUAAUCUUAGACUUUAUUGAAUUUUUUUUUAAAUGUAUAAGAAAAGAAAAUAGAGAAAAAAAAUAUUAUGAAAUAAAACGUAAAAUAAAAUAAAAAAUAGACUCGGGAUAUGUUUGGUUCUCAAAAAGUAUUAAGAAAAUAAGAAAAGUGUUAAAGAAAAUUAUUUUUCUCAUAUUUGGUUUAUGUUGGUGCAGUGCCAACCAGAUUAAGUCCGUUUAGCUUUUCUAGAGUUAAACGGGAUUCUUCCUUGCAUAAAAAGAUGUCCGAACAAAUGGUCUGGCACAAAAAAAGUUCUGAAGCUUAAGUAAAAAAAGAAUAAAAAUGGGUGUAAUUCUUUCAAAUGGCCCUGUAAAAAUACAAAUGAAAAUCAAAUAUCGUUAACUUUGUCAAAAUUUAUAUAUUUUUAAAUCACUUAAUCUUUACAUAAAAAAAGCAAAUAAAUAAAAUGAGUUUGAAGAACCAUGUAAAAAUAAUUUAUCAAGUUUAAACCUAUUUUUUAUUUUCCUUCACUUUUUUUUCUUUCAAAUUUUAUAGAAACCAAACAUGACCUUAAAGUCAAUAAAUUAUUUUUAUAAUAUUUUAAAAUUAUUUCACAUAUUUUAAUUCUUCUACAUUAAGAUUAAAUAGUUAGAAAAAUAUAUUAAAAAAAUAACUAAUCUUAAUUAUAUUUAAUUUUUUGUGCAUUAGUAAAAUCAAAUACCAUAGAAUAAUUUUUUUAAAUAUUAUUUUCUUAGUACUUUAUAAAAAUGUUUAGGUCAUGAAAAAUAUUAAGAAAAUGAAAAAACUAUACUAAGAAAAAUAGUUUUCUUUUAUUUAAUUCAUUAAACUUAUGUAUUUUGACCGCCUCCCUAGAAAAGGUCUUAUCCAUUCAAUCUAUUAAAAUACCAAGCUAUCUAUCUACCUAUCUACCUACAAGCCCACGGUUUCAUUCCAAUGCUUUGAUUAGUUACUAAGACUUGAACCUUUAAAUAGAAAAAUUCAAAUAAAUGAAUAUAAAAAUAAUUUAUUAAUUUAAUUUCUUUUUUUUUUCUUUCCAAUAUUUUCUCGAGGAAUCCAAGAUUAUUUUGUCGCAUAAAAAUACAAACACUGCCAAAUGCAUUGUUUCUAUUCGUCAUGGAUUUAGUCUAUGUCAGGUCACCGUGGGCAGAACGGCAAGGUAUUUUGCAAUCAAUGGACCAACUUUAUUAAAUGUGAUUUGGUGAUUGUUGCAUCCAUAUUUUCAAUGUCUUCUACUAUAAGCUUCAUUCUUAUCAAGACUUUAUGAAAUUAUUAUAAUUUUUACAUUUUAUUACAAUGGUGUCCAAAAUUAUGAAAAAAAAAAAAAAGCAUUGACUUUGACAAAUGAAGAAGUGAGAAAAUUACUAUUUUCACCGAUGUUUUUAUUUUACAUGUUAGGUGAAUAGUAAUAGAAGUGGGGAAAAAAAAAAAACCAAGGAAAGAAUAUCACACUAAUUUAGCAAAAUUAAGAAUCCCAAAAGAGAGUUUCAAAGCUGAUCGGAUCACCGAAAUAUGCACAAAAGUUUUCUUCCGCCGUAGCCGGCGGUGGAUACAACCACCCCUCCACGGAGUCGGCCAAUAUAAACUCGUUCCUCGACUCGUCCGAGUCAAGCUCGCCUUCUAUAUUGGGCAACUCAACGAUCUGACUCAGUUCAUCCGACGUGGACUCCUCCGACGAAGACGACAACGACGAUGACGUUGUCGUUGUCGUUGUUGUUGUCGAAUUUAGCGUCUCCAUUGCCGCAGCUUUGGCCGCGGCAGCCUGGACGUCGCGCGGGGAGAGCGUCACCGGCCGGGGAAGCAAAUGGGCGAGGUCGGGGAAGUUUAGGAUCGCUGAGUCUCCCUUGAUGCUCAAGGCGGCGGAGUCAUGGGCUCGCGCUGCCAUUUCCGGGUUCGGGAAUGUGCCGAGCCAGAUUCUCGAUUUCUUGCGCGGUUCUCGAAUUUCGGACACCCAUUUGCCCCAGCUCCGCAUUCGAACCCCUCUGUACACUGGGUGUCUGUUGCAGUCUCUCCCUCUCUUGGUGGCUGGGUUCUGAGCUUUGACUUGUUUGGAUGUGUCAGAAACCGAGUUGGGAACAGACUGAGAAGACCCAGAUGAAGAUGGCGAAGAUGGAGAAGCCGAAGCAGUACUGUUACUAGUACUCUCAGCUUCCGAACUUGGUCGCUCCCCCAUUACCAAAAGGAUAAACCCACCUCGAAUCCUUCCAAGAAAAUGAAUACAGCAGUACAGAUGAUAAUGUAGAGACGUCUCAAAGAGGCCAGAGGUGAAGAGAUGACUACAGCAAUGGAGAGAGAAUCAAGUAUGUAUUGAGAGAGAGAGAGACAGAGAAACAGAGAGAGAGAUUUGAGGGAUUGUUGGUGUGUAUUUGAGGUGGGAGAAGGAUGGGGUUUUAAGGGAUGGAGACGCUCCUUUUCACAGCGACACCCAACCUACCAAUUUCAUGUCACUACACUACCAAAACCAGAGUCUUAAGAGUACAUACAAGAGAGAGAGAAAAGGAGAGAGAGAGAGAGAGAGAGAGAGAGAGAGAGAGGGACCCAUAGGAAGAAUGGGUUGAGCCAAGAGAACUGUGGGACCAAGGCUGUGGCACAAGGCAGACCCCCACCUCAUUAAAACGCCCCUUUUCUAACUCUUCACCUCCACUGCCCACGUCCACCUCCAUUUGUCCGUUAGGGCAUUUUCAUUUGUCUCCACCCAUCUCAGUUGCUCACCACCCUCUCUCCCACUCCCAUAUACCUACAAAAGGCUACAAACGUGGAUCAACCCAUCCUCACUGCUGCAUUUUCUUCCCUUUUCACUUAUUGGGAAAGAGAUGGAGGUCGCUAGAAUUUACUUUUUUUCAACCUUUUUCCAUACAAGAGCUACCAUAUCUCUCCAUCAAAUCACUUCUCCUUCAUCUCUUUUAGUAACAAAAUCUCCAUGAUUUUCCCUUCUUUUCUUUUCUAUUUCACAUUGUUUAUGUUUCUCGGGGAACAACGUAUCUUAAGUGUACUAUUGAAACUUUUGCUAAAUAUUUAUUUUCUACCAAGUCACUUGCCUUGUGUUGUCAUUUUCAGCUUACAAUGCUUAUUUUAAUUUCCGCUUCCAUUAAUUUAAUGCCCAAUUGCCUCCAUGAUUUGAACUCCAAAGGUAUGAUUCCAUACGUUCAUAAUUCUCUUGGAGAUCCAUCAAGUUUUAGCAUAUUGGAAGAUCAAGGGUCAAUUUAACUUCAAAUGCCCACUCUAAUAAUUCAACCAACUAAUAAUUUAGUUCAUAAUUUUAUUCAUUUUGCUUAAUAAUACCAAUGGGGACAGUGAAGCUUAGUUUAAGUAUCACUUCAAUCACAAAAUCAUAAUUAAAUAAUGCUAAUAUUUUUUUUUUUUUUCUUUUGAAAAUUUCAACUAUCUUGAAGUUUUGGCCAAUUUUGUUUUUUCAUCUAAAGAGUAUUAGCCUUCAAAAUAUGCUUUAUGCCAUUAAUAUUUUAAGUCAAAUCUUAUUCCUAAAUAUUUUGUAUCAUGAUAAAAAUAGAAAGUUUUAGAUUUUGUUCGGUAAUUGUCUUUUAAGAAUAGUUUUCUAUUUGUUAAUAUAAAAAACAAAAAUCAUAACUAACAAGUAAGAAACAAAAAAAGAAGAAGUAAUUUUAUGUAUUUAAAAAUAGAAAAUAAGGUAUUUUUAGGUAUUUUUUUUUUUGUUUUUUAUUAUUUUUUUAAGAUUAUUUUAAAAAUAAUUAUAUAAUAUAAAAAUAAAACAUUACAUAUAAAAAUUAUUUUUAAAACAUAGAAAAUAAAUAAAUUAAUAAUAUUUUUAAGAAAAAUAUGCUUUCAUACACUGAUAUGAAAAAAAAACUAUCAAAUAGAAACUCAAAUUUAUAAUAUACAAAUUUCAAGUAAUCGUUUAGAAAUAAUUAACAUUUCAUGUAUUUUUUUUUUAUCAAAUGGAUUAUCUUUGAGCAUUUAAGUACUAUCUUUUAAUGAUAUAAGUACUAUUUUUAGUCAUCCUCGAUACUAUUUUUAGUCAUCCUAGAUACUAUCUUUGACUAUUGAGUCAUAAAGCUUGAAUUAUUUCUAAAGGGUUUCUAUUUUAUGAUCAUUUUAUGAAAUCACACUUUUCGUAACAUUUUUUUUUUGAAAAAAAAAAUAUAUAUUUUAUUACAAUGGAGAUGUACAUUAUACCACAAAUGAAAGAGAAAAAAAAAAUAUCUUAUUACAAUGGAGAUGUACAUUAUACCACAAAUGAAAGAGAAACGAAGAAAAUGGAAAAGAAAAAUGAAGCCAGGGAUGGAGAAAUUGAAGGUACACACACAUGGUCAACAGGCUCAUAGCACGAGGACUGUAUUGAUUCGUCCCAGCGCAUGGUGGCAAAAGAACAACUCAGAGAUUUCAUCGAUGGGUCCAUUUUCAUGAAUUAUGAGAUCUGCACACGCCAACACCACCCAACUGAGAUAGAUCUUUUGUCUUUCUAUUUCAAUUUUUUAAUGGGGUUUUUUCUUGAUAUUUUAUUAUUUUAUUAUUUUUAUUUUUUGUUUCGAUCGGUCGUAGCUGGCACUGAAACCGCUGAGAAAGUGAAAUCUGUUUUCCCAAAUUACUUCAUUGAUCCAUUUUUUUGUUUCCACUUUUGCUAUGGUUUUCUCAUAUGAUUGAAUCACAUGGUCUUAUUUUAAGUUUGAUGUCACGUAUGCUUUCACAUGAUAUACGGUUACAAGAAAAACAACAAAUUUUUUUUUUUUUAAUAUAUUAAUGUUUUAUUGUUUUAAAUUUAUACGUGAUUAUGUCAUCCACCACUAAAGUUAGUUGUAAAAUGAAAAAAAAAAACACAAAUAAUAUAUUCAUAAUAAAAAAUAUAAAAGAAAAAUCAUAUAUUCACUCUUAAAAUUUUUGAGAAAAAUGGAAAGAAAAGAAAAUAUGUUGGAAUUGAAUUAAGAUGCCAAAAGGACUCACAUGCCUACUCAAUAAAUGAGAGAAAUAAGAGAACAGUUUCUCGAAGUUUUAAAACUAUCUAAAAACUGUUAUUAUUAAAAAAAAAAUUUCUAUGAGAGCAAUUUCUCUUUGAAAAACAAAAAAAAAUGAAUAUGUUUUCUUCUUCUCUCUUCUUGAAAACAAAAAAAUAAAAAAUACGAUUCUUCUUUAUAAAAAAAUAAAAAUAUUUUCUCUUAAAUUUUUUUUCUUGUUUUCACUAUGAGAACGAAGGUCAAAACUCUUAUAUUGUGAAAACGAUUAAUUCUCGUAUUUAUUGUUUAAUUCAAAACGAGAAACAACUCAUUGAAAUUCCUUGACAUCUCAAAAGAUAACCCCAAAGCUUUAUUUUAUAUUAAAAUAAAAAAAAUAAAAGAAAAUUAUUAUAUUUUUUUUAAACCCAUUUAACUUACUUCAAUUAUUUUAUACAAAAAUUAAAUAAUUUGAAUAUAAGUUUCUCAUUCAUUUUAUUUUUUAUUUUUAUAGAAAAACUAGAUAUACAAAAAUUCAUUUUUAUCAUCUUUUUAAUACUUUAAAACCAAACAUAUGUAAAAGUUGUCCCUCUUUUUGUUUAAAUUUUCCUAUUUAUGAUCGUAUUUUUCCUCACAAGAGGUUGUACCAAUUUAUUAGGAUUAUAUGACUCUCAACUAUCGUAUACUUUUCAAACCACUCUUUUUGGUAUGAUAAUCCACCUUUCUUACUCAAACAUGUGCAAUUUGGUGCUAAAACUUCAAAUAUUUCUAAAUUUUCAAUUCUUUUAUUCAAUAAUUUUUUAUUUUUCUAUUUUCCUUUUGUCCAGUUUUUCUUGUCGUCAUCCCUUUUGGGAUACUUCCCUCCCCCCCCCCCCCCAGCCAUCCCUAAUCCAUGUUAAGGCAAAAGGCUUCAAGAAAUAGACUUUCUAGAAUGGAUGACAUAGAAAAGAUUAGGUGGGUAGGGAAUUGAAUUAGUCAUCUCAAUGACUCAUCCAAACACACACCAUUAUCUCCUCAUUAAUUUAAACCUUUUCACAAAGCUUUUACACCAAUUCAACAUGUCUAGAACACAUCAAAAUAAGCUGUACAGCAGUCCUUUUAGCCCAUUAUGAUGAUUUCAAAAAGUGCUUACAAUUAAGCUUUGGGGUUUGCAAAGUGUUGUGCAAGCAAAAGCUUUGAUGUCAAUAAUGUUAAUUCAAAAACACAAAGAUAAAAUAAUCACACAUACGGUACAUGAUGUUUUAACAUGGUUCGACCAAUCAUACCUACGUCCACAGAUGAAAGAAAAUGAUUCCACUAUAUAAUAAAGAAUAUUACAGAAGACAGAACCGAUAUACAAUUAUUGGGUUUCUGAAAUAUCUCAUGUUUCCUCACUCCUUAUAUCCAUAUCUCACUACAAACCCUUUCGCUCCACUAGCUACCUCCCGUUCUUCCUUACAUAUCUAUCCAUCUCGUAUAGUUUCUACAUGUCUAUCUCCAUCUCAUAACUUUUUUCCCUUAUGACCUAUAAUGUUUAUAAAGAUAUUUCCAAUAAUAUUCCUUAUUAUUCUAUAAGGAAGUCUAAUAUUAUAAUAAUAUAUCAACUUAGAAAUAUUCUAUAUAAUAUUCUUUACAAAAAGGAAUUUAUACUAAUUAGGAAUUUGGGGCACUUUCUAACACAAAGCGAAACACCACAUGAAGAUGAAGGUUGGGGGGUGGGGUGGAGGCGGGAGUUAAUGUGGAUGCAGGUACCCAGAAGGCCCAAAUCUAAUCAUGCAACUUAUCUGUCAAGAAGAAAAUGGGCGAUGGACCCAAAAGCUUUAAUCAUCUCCAGGAUAUAUGAGCUGUAAUGUACAGUUAGAUUCACCUUAUAACUGUAGCUCUUAAAGACCCAUGAUUUGAUCUUCAAAUCUGCGUGCAAAGCUGUGUUUGUACAAUGAAAUGAAGGGUGAAUGAGAAACAUAUGGUCUGUUCAUGACUCUAAAUCUAGCCCUUCUCUGCCACACAACUUUGGUUUUUUUUCUACGUUCCUUUUUUGGCGUGGAGGGAGUGGCCAUGAUAAGAUGAAGAAGAGACAAACUAGUGAUUGGAGUAAGGAGAAGGGUGCGAGCAUUGAAGGUGGUGCGGGAUUAAGUCGGAAAAGAGAGAAAUUUGAAGACGUAAUUCGUUAGUGGCCUACUUUUGCUUGAUGUGGAUGGAAUUGGGGACGUGGUGUGUGAGAGAAAGGACUUCUUUCCGUACCUAUUUAUUUUAGACAUGUUCUUUCAUGGUUUCCAUCUUUCUUUUUCUCUCCCUCUUUCUUUUAUUGUCCUUUUUUGUUCUUGUUUGUUCUUCUCCUUCUUUAUGGGAAUAUAAUUUCAUUUUUUUAUUCAUUUUUUUUCUAUAUUAAUGAUUUUGUAAAACAAGAAAUUUUGUAUAAGUUUUAAAUAUUUCAAUUAAAGAAAAAAUUUACUUAUUAAUUAUAAAUUGUAAAAUGAUUUUCAAAUAAUAUUAAGGCAUUUUGUAUUCCUUUAAUAACAAAAAUUGAGAUAAAAUAUAUUUUUACUUUUAAAAAAUAUCAAAUAUCUAAAUAUAUUAAAUAUUAACAUCUUUGAAGAUAUAUUUAUCUUUUAUCUUAUUCUAAUUUCUAUCCCAUUUAGCAAAAAAGGGGAGUUCCACAAACCGACAUCUUGGUGCACGUGUCAACACGAACGGGUUUUGGGCUUCGUUCCGGAUUCUGGAACCAGGCCUGAAUCCUGAUAUUGGAGCAGCCAAGCCCCUGGUUGGAUAGUUGGGACAAGAGUGAAAUGCCACCAAAAGUCUAGGCCCAAGCUUUGUUGUCUACCUUUUGGGUCAAAAAGGCCCAGUCCAGAACCCAUUGGGUGAAAGAAAAAGCCCCAUAAAGAUUUGCAGGCCGGUAAUGAGUCUUACAAAAAAAAAUUCAGUCAAUACGUAUACCAUGAAAUUUCUGAAGUUUCGGUUUAGUUGUCGGGAUUUACUUAAUUCUUGGAAAGAAAUUCUAACUACUAUUAAAGGUGGUGUUUGUUUUUGUGACUGAAUGCAAAUUUACUUUACUUAUGUUAGUUUAUAUCAAUAUGUUACUUUUAAUUAAAUAAAAAAAUCAAAUAUUUUAAAUUUUUUUAUUCAGUCAAAAAACAAACACCAUGAGUGAAAAGUGAUGUUAUUAGAUUUUCAACUUUUUUUUUUUUUUUUUUUCUAAUAUACAUAGUCCAUGAAUUCUCUAAACCUCUUUCGGACCUUUAAACAUAUAGUUCGAACUCCGGUGUUAGGGUUCAAAAGAGGCUCUCAAAGGGGCAUUCAACACAAUUUUUAUGUGAACUCACCCUUGAAAAUCGACUGUCAAAGAUCAGAUGUCAAAAUGUUUACAAACCCAACCAUUAAGCCUUAGUUUGGUGGUGUGGGACUCAACCGGAUUGUUACAAAAUGACGGACCCAAAACCAUGAAACUUGGGCGGGUCCUUUGCCAAAAUGAAUGACCCAAAUCUAACAUAUUUUGAGUAUCCAUUGAUUUUGUAGAAGGAAGACCUUGAUGCAAUUUUCUUUUAGGGAUUUGCACUUCACCAUUGCAUAUAAUGCUAUUUUAUAAGCAUGAGUCCAAAAUUGAAAUUUUAGGAAUUUCUUCCAGGUGAAUGGAGUAGGGUUGAAGGAAAGUAAUCUUAUGAGUGAGUUUGGUCACCUAAUGUACAUGUUCCGUUCUUGUACUGCAACUAAAUCUCAAUCCCUCAAUUUUCUAACAGAACAACUUCCCCCAAACAGCCCUCAAGAAUGUCAAUGUCAGAUAGCCCAAAACUUGCUUAGUAGUUGGUCAUGUUGAACACCAGCUUCACCACAUCCCCAUUUUUAUUCACAUUCAAUCCAAUUUUCUUUUCUCCUCUUUCUUUUGGUCAAUCCCAUCAUAGGAAAACAAAGGAAUGUUGUUGGGUUGGGCCUCCUAAACCUCUUCCCUAUCAUAGGACCCACAAAUGCCAUCCAAGUAGUUUGUUUAAAAAAACUUUUGAUUUUUAGAAUAAAUUUGAGGUAUUUUCAAUUAUUUUUAUAAAGUAUUUUGAAUAAUAAUUAAAAAUAUAAAAAUUAUUUUUAUAUUAUAUUUAAGUGCAUAGCACUUUUAUCGAGAAUAAACCCACAAAAAAAAAACAAUUUUUCAUAUUUGAUCUCUGAAGCAUGAUUUUAUUUCUAGAAACAAUUAAAAAAAUAUUAUUUUUAAAAACAUUAUCAAACAAACCAUUAAACAUUAUCGAGCUAGACCUAGAAUACAAUUGUUAAUAAAACGGAGAUUCCUUCCAUGCAACAAAAUCCAAUUUUGGAUUUCCACUUACAUGAACAUGGGUGCUUUCAAUGGUAAAUGAUCUUUUGAUGAUUGAGAAGAUCUUCCAAAAUUUGGGCUAGAUAUGAGGAGAGCACAAGGGAAUGAGUGGUUGUGUUGCAUGACACCAUCAUCCACUUCAAUACCUACUUGCUUCAUUUCCUCUCCCCCACGCCACAAAACCAGACCCAUCAUCUUUCCAUUCUUAUUAAAUCAUAAUUUAAAAUCACUAAAAUUCCCAAAAUUCUUACCACUUGUCAAUAAAAUAAUUAACACAUAUAUUUCUAAUUUUUUUCUCUAAAUAAUUGCUAAAUUUUUCUAAUAUAUUUGUAAAUAUUUUUAUAUUAUGAUAUCAUAUUAUUAAAACUUUAUCAACUUUUUUGCCUCAUGUAAGUAGUAUACACCCUUAACAUAACAUACUAAAAAGACCAUAGCAUAGGCAAAUAGAUUUUUUUUUAUGCCCUAAUCAUAUAAUUAAUUAAAUAUUUUUUUCAUGAAUUUAAUGUUAAUUUUGUAAUUACAUUUAUGGAUUCACAAAAAUAUGAAAAAGAAAUAAUAAUAAUAAAGACACGUUUGCAAUGUGUGAGCAGUAUAUAUAAAAUGUGUAGGCAAAAACACACCAACGUAACUGAAACUGAACUCUCUUCUUCGUCUUCUUCAUCUCAGAGUUUGGGAUUUGAAAAUGGACGUGUCAGAGAGUUUUGGUGGAUACCGUAUCGGAUUGGACGAAUCGUAUCGGCCUCUUCCUUCUGUGUACUUGGCUUUCCUCUCGAUCUGGUUCGUCUCCGCCUGUUCUUGGACCGUCAAUACCUGGAAAAACCGCCAUUUUCAGGUCAUUUCUCUUCACUCUUUGUUUCUUGAUUACAUGUGGGUGGCCUGUUUGUUUUGAUGGGAAAUUUUUUCUGGGAAAGUUAAGUAUUUGUUGGAGAAAAAGAUGAGUUUUUCUGAGAACCAGAGGGGGGUGAGGAAAAUUGAGACUUGCAUGUUCAGUGAUGGGUUUGAUCUGAUGAUUCUGCGCCUUUUAUUUUGAUUAGACUUGGGAAAGUUGAUGGUUUUUGUAUUUUUUUUAGGGGUUUUUAUGUUUUUUUUUCUUCUUUCGAAAGAAUGCUCUUUUUGGUUGCUGAGAAAAUGGAGGAAAAGAAAAUAAAUUCAAAUUCUUGGUUUCUGAAUUUUCCGUUGCUUCAAACCCCUCCAAUCCACUGAAUCCAUAGAACUACUGGGGUAGUGGUGAAUUUUUUUUCCAUUUUUGGAAACCAGAACAGAACAACAUGAACUCAAAUUGCAUUCUCUUUUCUUUUUCACCAUUUCUUCUCUCAAUCAAAAGGAGGGUUUAAGCGAUUUCCUUCAAAAUUAUUAGCCUGGAUAUUUCCUGUUUAUAAUUUUCAUUUUUUAAUCACCUGUACUGUGAAUUAGAUUUUCAUUUGAUUGGAUUCUGUUUUGUAAUUGCUUCAUUUUUGUGUCAUUGUUAUACUAGAGCAGACGAAUAAUUUGCAGUGGACACUUGCAUCUGUUCCAUUGAUUAAAGCUCUGCAACUCGCCCUUUCCUUUAUCUUCUGGUAAGCCUCAUGAUUAAACUGAAACGUGGUAGUGCCUAUAAUGAAAAAAUUGAAAAGAAAAAAAUGAAGUUUCAAGGUUUUUCAUAGUUCUGUAUUUUGGAUGACAAUAGCUUUUGAACCGGUUCUUCGCUGUUUUCGUUUCAAAUUAUCCGAGUUCGAUCAUUUACCGAAACAAUCUUAAUAUUGCAUUAACUGUUUUUCAUAUUUCAAAGCACUGGUCUUGCAGGUAUUCAUGCUUUAAUCUUCAGAUAUGCUCAGUGUGGAUGUCAUUUGGGGUGUAUGUAACUGGGGUGCUCUUUCAGACUGCUUCUUUCGUGUCUUUCUUGCUCAUUUCUCAUGGUUAUUGUAUCAUGUGUGAGCGUUUAUCGGUCCCUGAACGACGCACUACAGCUGCACUUGGAUGUGUCUUUUACUUGACUCUUGUUGGUUACCGAGCUUCUGUACCUUACUUUGCAGUAAGUUUCUAACUAUCUAAUGCAAUAUGAUCUUGAAUCUGUGGCCGCAUCCAAUUUUUGUCGAUGUCAAUUUUAAAGAGUAAUCCCCAUUUGCCUAAAUCUAUUUUUUCUACCUGAAAUAGUAACCCCUUUUCACUUCCUAUGAUCCAGGUCCUUCUUCUGCUUAAUUAUUUUAUUUCCUUCUAUGUGAUCUUCCACCAUAUAUCCCGAAAUUUAUUAUUGUUACGGGAACAAUUGAGUUUCAUAGAGGAUGAGGAGGUUCAUGCAAUGCAUGAUGCGGUUUACACAAAGUAUAUCAUGUUCAAGUAUGUGUUUCUGGUACUAUAAAUGGUCUAGCCUUUUCUUCAUGGAAGAAUAUUAUGGUCUGAAUUUGAUCUGCCAUUUUCUUUCGUAUAUAUAGAAAAUUUCAGGGUGCAAUGCAGAUAGUAGCCAUGGCAGAAACUGUGGUAUGAAUUUCCUAAUCUGUGGAUUCUAAUUAUAUUUACUAAUAUGCUAAAUACCGAAGCUCGAUCGAUGAGACAGUUGAGUGUUUUUCUGGAUGUCAGAUAUACAUUAACGUGGAUGACUCAUCAGAAAAAUACUGGCUUCGCUUGUUAGUUCGAGAAUGGGCACAAUUCUGCAUCUUUCUGUACAUUGGGUAUGUGUUAAUCACAUGAUAUAGUCAAAGUCUUCAAUAGAAACAUUUUAGUUCUUAACGAUUCACGAAGUUACUAAUUAUAGGUGUAGACAAUGUCUAGAAAACACGACAAAUUUGCUUACUGGUUUUAAUCCAUUUUGGUUUUGUAGAUGGACCUUCAGGUCACAAGACUUGGCGCCACGCUUCUCUUUUAUGCCAUCCUUAAAAUCUAACAUGGAAGUAUGGUUGCCUCCAGUGUACAGCAUUGUAAGUUCUUAGUCAAAUUUGAACACUUCAAGACUAUUGAAAUAACAUUUUGGACCAUGCCUAACUGAUCAGUCUUCCUUUUCAUAGCCAUAUGAACCCAUCAUGCACAAUCAUCUUUUGAGGAUUUGAGAAAUGACGUUGUUUAUGAUUCUUGUUGUCGGUCUUUUUGUGGAGAGUGGGUAAAACAAGUAUCAUGAUCAAACCAUUCUCAGUCCCCAACUUCUGAUUCUUAAUUUCAUCAUCCAUGGAUUCUAGUUUCAUCGAAUAUGAGGAUGUAUUAUACAUCAAUGAAACUCCUAUUUUUGUAUUUGCCAUUUCAAACACCUCGACUCAGACUAGACUCUGCCAUAUCUUACAGUUCUUAACUCAAAAUUGUAUUGGAUUUCAUUAUUUGCUUGUUGAGCACUAACACGUCUUAGUAGUCGGUUGAUGGCAGACCUGCUGAGAUAGGCAGGGUUGGUUCUUAUAAACAGAACCCAAGAUGCAGGGUUUCUCUGUAUACCUCUAGAUACACAGUUAUGAAAUUAGUAUUCUUUUUUUUCUUUUCUUCAGAUAAUAGUAACUCAUGUUCCUGCAGGAAAUGGAUGCAACAGCUUUCAAAGAUUUUAGCAGUCAUGAAUGGCAUAUUGGGGUGGUAAGUGAUGUUAAACUCGAACCCCUUGCCUGUUUAUGGUCUCAUUUAUUCAAAUUUUUAGUAGUUUCUCCAUGGAUUGAUGAAGCCUAAAUAUCAGUUAUCCUAUGAGCUUAUUUUUUCCAAAUGGCUGCCAGCAUCCUUUCACAAAAGCUCUCCAUUAUCCUGUUUAGGUUCUUAAUUUUGUGCAGUAUUCAGUUAUUCUAUACUAAAUCUGAGUUGGUAUUGUUACUGAAAAAGCGAUUUAUGCUCUUCCAGCCAUCUUCGCUUUCCUGCAAUGAACGAUUUAACGAUUCCGUUCUAGUAGUAAUUCAGCAUCCACAUGCACAUAGGCCAACUUCAGCAACGCCCUCUUCCCCAACUCCAGCUGGUGUAGCCUCUUCUGCAACUGACUCCAGUUCAGAUUCAUGUCCAAGCAAGAAUCACGAGUAAAAUUUACUCAUAGAAUAAACUACUGCAAUAUGCUCGCUAAUGUUCUUCACAAAAAAUUUCAGCAGUAAACGUUGAUCUUCCCUCGUGCCUCCGAUACCCGUAAACCUGACAGCAAGAGCUGCAAAAAGGGUGGAUGGUGAUUCGUUGGCUUAAGCUAUAGAACUUGCAGUUGAUUGAUUUAGUAACUGUAUAUUCCUCUCCCCUUUGUGUUGUUUCUUGUUUGAAGUUGUAUUCCUCCUGUAAAUGUAAUUCUGAUUUUGGUUGAUGUUUAACUACUAAUUUUUCUAAAAAAAAUCUUACCCACAAGUGAAGAGACAAAUAGAAUUUGCAUUUAUAUUUAAUAGAGACAAACAAAACCCGAGACUUCUCGUCAAACCAAAUUCUGACAUCAUGUUGAACUACUAAUUUUUCUAAAAGUUUAAGUUUCUAGGGUUCAAUAUACAUAUUGUGCUCCUUAAGGUCAACUAUUUUGGGCUCAAGCCCAUGCUUGCCAACAAAGCUAAAAAACCUUGAGAUUCCUUCAUGUUUACUAAUAAAUUUUCAAAAUUUAACUUUCACGAUGUUUUCUUUAAGUAUUAAAAAUGGUAAAAAAAAAAAAAAUUUAAUUUAAUUUUUAUUUUCAAAACUAAACUUACAUAAUUUUAAAUUAUUUAAUCUUUAUAUAGAAAAGUUAAAAUAAGUGAAAAUUAUUAUAAAAUAUAAAAAUUUAUCAAAUUAUGGUACUUGUAGAUGAUAUUCCAUAUUGAUGUAUAUCUUUUUGUAACUUUCAACAAAAGACAGAUAUUUGUAAUGAAAAUUUAUUAUGUUCUUUUCUACAUUCAAUUUUAUUUCUUUUUGAGGAUUUUUGUUUAUUCUUCAUUCUUUCUUUUUCUCAUUCUUUUAUUUUACAUCAGAAAUGAACUAAAUAUUAUAUAAAAAUAAUUUAUUGAUUUUAUUUUUUUUUUAAAUUUCCUUAUUUUUCUUUACUUUUACUUUUUCCUUUUUAUUUUUUCCCAAAAUCUCCUUAAACCAAACAUAAAGAUAACAUAGUAACUUCAAAUAAUUAAAAUAUCUAAGUUCAUAUAAGAUAUCUUGAUUAUUUUCUAGAAUUUAGAGGAGCUUUGAAAAAGAAAAAGGAAACAAAUUUAGAAGGCCAAAAAAGGGAAAAAUAAUUUAGAAGAAAAAAACAUUAAUUAAGUAAGAGGAAAAAAAUGUUAUCCGGGGGGAUUAAGACUACAACUUGAAUGGGUUAAAAGACUAACGUGCCAAACCCAAUCUAAGAUCGAGUUGAAAAUUAGCAACCCAUAACCAAGUCCAUGCCCAAUGCGGGUAAUUAUUUUAAAUGUUCAAGAUUUAAAAUAAAUAAUUACCCACAAACUCAAAUUUCAACUCCAAAAACAUUCUAAUAAUUAAACAAAAAUGAUAAAUAUAUUAGUUUUUAAGAUGAUUAAGAAUUGACAAAUCUUGAUAUUUUUCUAACCCAUUCAAACCUUGGGUGGGUUGAACCCAUCUAAGUUUCAGAUGGGAGACAAUAUCCAGGCCCAAAAAUCUAUCCUACUCUCGAACCUGGGCCAACUCUAUUGGGCUGGGUGUGUAGAGCCCCCCCCCGUGAAUGAAAUCCACCGGGAGAGCUUUCUCUCUUCUUCUCCGCAGCAUUCGGGCUUUCGUGGGACGAGCAGUGAGUGCAGAGACUGAAGUAGCGUGACAGAACAAUCCAAAGCCGACAAAUAUGAGUUCAGGUACCCUCUUAUGGGGUUUGAUUUUGUAUUUCCAAUGAUUACUAUGAUCAUGGUGUUUCGCCUUCUAGUUUGAUCAAAAUGCAAAAAGCCUUAAUUUUUGCUUUUCUAAUUCUCUGUUUGGUUGCCCAGAAAACGGAGGCGAAAGAAAAUCUGAGACCCAUAAUUUUUUUUGGGUUUAAAAGAAAAAACCGAAAUAAUCAAUAAAAGGAAUUCCCUUUUAACUGUUCUGGGUUUUCUUCACUGCUUAAUUUUUUUUUUCCUUAUUUUUUAGCAACCCAAGGGAGUAGUAUGAUGCACAAUGGAUGAUUUUCUGGAUUUUUGUUAAUAUGAAGAGAAAUUUUUUAUGAAGGUUCUGUUGAAUUGGUAUGGAAAUACAAGGCUUGUUUCCGUUAGUAAGAAUUUAGGGUCUUCGAAACCAAACCCAUUUCUAAUAAUUAGGGUUAACUUAAAAACCACCUGCAUUUUGUUCUGGAGUCCAUGAUACAUGUUUACGUUUUUAUAUUAGAUUGUUCUCUUUGUUGGGUGGUUUGAUUCAUGAACCAGAUCAGACUGUAGAAAUCAUUACUGUCAACUUUUCUUACUUAUCAAAUCUGUCUAUUGAAAAGAAAUAAAAAUGCAGUCAAGGAUUAUUUCAUUCUUUUUUUCAUUUUAUUAGAAAGUUUUUGAUUUUGGCAGGUGGUGCAUUUGGUGGAGCCAGGGGUGCAAGGCCAGUGCCACCGGAAAAAGGAAUAUUCCCUUUGGAUCGCAUGCAUGAAUGCGACCUGGUAGAAUUUCCCUCAUGUUUUCACUAGAAAUGAGUUUUUACUUAUAUUUAUGUUCAUAUGUUUUUUAUGCCCUUAUAUUAAGCAUAACAAGUUCUUGAACAUUGUGUGGUUUCAACUUAAAUUUCGGGUGUCUUUUGUUUCUUUGGCUAUUUUUCCUUCAUUUCAUAGUUGCUGUUGCUGUAUUGAUGUGUUUCAGGAGAAGAUAGAAUAUAUCAGCUGUCUCAAAUCCUCUGGUAAUAAUUCUGAAAAAUGUAGGCACCUCUCAAAAAAGUACCUCCAAUGUCGUAUGGAUAAGUAAGUGGAUUUUUGUUUUGCUUUUCUCUUUAUUGAGUUCGGAGAUAAGUUCCAUUUGUUUGGAGAAAAUGGAGUAGUUGAAAGGGUGAACCUGUGAAUGGGAUAAGUGAGGAUCAUUUUUAUUUUUAAGGUGAACUUUGUCAUGACUCUACUUGGAUGGUUAAAGCUCCAUUGACAUAUGAAUGUGGCCUUUCCAUAACAAAACCUUGGUUCAAAUGUGAAAUUAGAAGGCAAACUCUUUGCCUUUCAAGGUUAAGCUGAAUCAGCUUAAUUUUAAUUUAGAGCUGUCUCAGGGUAUUAAUUUCUGAAAGCAGUGUAGUGACUCUGUGCAGGUCUUAAUUUACUCAACCAAGAUGUUAUUUGAUCUCCUAAUUGCAUUUGGCACUAUAAGUAGAUUGUCAUUUUUUGAAGGGUUCAAUAACUAGAACUAAGUUGUCAUUGAUGAAGUUGCAUAUUGAUUCUUUUUCUCUUUUUCUGUAGAAGGAGCUUUUCUUUUUUUGCAGCACCUUCAGAAAAAUUGCUUAUUUAGCGAUUUUGUAGUUAAUUUGAAGGAAAAUAAAUCCUCAUAUUUCAGUCUAAAGGAUUUUACUUCUUCCAAAAGCUAGCCAAUGGGAUGCCAUUUUGUCCUUUUCUCUUUUCUCCUUUUUUGAGUCAACAGUAGUGUUAUUGGAGUGAAAACAUGUCUAAUUGCUAAAAUUUUUAACACCAAAAUUUGGAUAAGGAGUUCCAUAUGGAUUUUAAAGAAACCCUAUUGAGCGGAAUAUUGGAACUGUUGCUGAGGGAGAUUUGCUCAUACCUUGUCCCAUCUGAGUUUGAUACAACUUUCUCUCUAAUUGACAAAUAUAAAAAAUGUGUAUGUUACAAACUUAGGGUGAUAAUUUUUCUCUCCACUGAUUCUUUAUCCUCUAAGAUUGAGAUGUUAGUUCAUGCCAAUCUUCCCAACUUAGGGUGUGUCUGUAAAUAUGUCCAAGGAAGAAUAACUUGGAUAACCAUUAAAGCAUAUUCUUCCUAGUGUAAUACUGCUUUUAUAUGUGGAGGAUUGAAUAUAAUGGUGAAAAUAAACAUAAAGUAGCUUGUUGGUGAAACUCACUACUCUCUCUGUCUCUCUCUCUCUCUCCCUCCCUCUCUCUGAACACCACCGCAGCCUCCUAGCUUCCCAGUUCAAAAAAUAUAAAAAAGAAUAGAAAAACAAAAACAUUUCUCCUGACUAGAGUGGUUCUUAUCUGAAAUGCUGUCAGACUAAAUAAUAAUCUUUUGAUGGGAUCUUGCAGGAACUUGAUGGCAAAACAAGACUUGUCAGAACUUGGAUUCAGAAAGGAAGCUGACACCGUAUCUUCUGAAGGGAAAAAUGAUCUGAGGAUUGAUUCUUGAAGCCCAUCACCAUUUGUUUUGAGAGCAUGACAGUAGUUUUGCAAAGUGGAAGACCAUUUCCCUAAUUUUGAUUAGUUGUUUAUUUUUUGUUCUUUUGAUACAAAACCAUGUAAAUGACCUAAGAAAUCUGAGGAUUACAAGCUUUUUACUGCGACAGCUAUGCUCAAAUUUAGGCUAGAAACUACUAGGGUAACCCUUUACUAUUUUCUUGAAUUUUCCCUGAAUUUUGUUGGAUCCAGCAACAUUUUUGGAAAUUGUUAUAAAUAUGCAAAUAAAGGAUGCACUGAAGCCCAUACUCUGGGUUUUAAAUGGAAGUGAACUCUUUAUUCUUUUAUUUCUGGAGGAUGAUAUUGUCUGGGAUUGUUUGCAUUAUAGGUUGGAUACUGAGGAAGCUCUUACUAUUUUACUUUUGCGCCAAUUCUGCUAGCAUUGAUGGGGAUGAAGUAUGGAGCAGACUGAAAAAGGGUCUUGUUUUGGGAAACCAUUGUGUUUUGAAGCUCGAUAUGUCAUUCUUGAUAAUAGCCUACUUUCAUGGAAUUCUUUAAAAAACAGUUUUUCUUCUGGUUUUAGGACAGAAGAGACAUAUGAGAUAGUGUGGGAGAUUUGGGUUUGAGCACCUAUACACAAUAAACUUCCCUUCCAAUAAACAAAUGACAGUUCGUAUACUUCAAAAAAUUUUGGGCUGGCGGGAGACAAACCCAAGAAAAGAGACAAAUAUUUUAGUAAUUUCUUUAUUAUUUUCCAACCAUUUCUCUGUGGUCGCCCAACCUCUCCAUUUGUUUCUGCGCUUGGUCCUUUCCUUCUCUCUCUCUCUCUCUCUCUGGUUCCAUGGCUUUCCUUCUCUCUCUGCAACUCCCCCAUUCAUACUCGUAAUCUCUCUCUCUCUCUGAGAAUCUCACUCACUCUUUAUAUAUAUAUAAUGAAAGUUAAUGAAUAAGUUCACUUUUCAACUUCUAUACCAGUAAAUGUAUGUCUCAAUUGAUUAUCAGCCUUUUAUAUUUGUAAUAUUUAGUCUGUUGUGUAUCAUCCAUCUGUUGAAUUUUGAGUUAAAAACUGCUCUCAGAACUUUGUUUUUCCAACUGGGUGUAGUGUUCAUGAACUUUCCCAAGUUUUUGAGAUUGCCAUAGAGUUUUGAAAUUCUGGGGAAAAUUUUAAUGUAGCUAGCAUUGAAGUAAUUAGGCUUGUUCAUUUUAUUACUUAUUUAAUUUUUUGGAGAGAGGGAAAAAUCAUAGGCAGUAUGUUGAGAUCUCCAUUACUUACCUAGUGUAUAUUUCUUGAAGUUAAUUGGUGUACAAAAUUUUCAUGACUUGCUGAUGGUGAUUCAGUUGGAACUUCUCAACAUCUUGGUUUGGUGUUCCAUAUCUAUAUGUAAAUCAACUACCCAGAAAGGUAGGAAGGUUGCAAAGAUGUUUUUAUAUCCAAACAUUUGGUCUUGGACUUGGAAAAAAAAACGAAGCUUCCAUGUAUUUUGUGUUAAUUGUAGCAUUACAUUGCCUUCUGAAUUCCAGGACUAAAAGAUUCAUGAAUUUUUUUUUUUUGUGCCCCAGAAACUUUGAAUCAGAGGACAGAAGAACAGUAAGGAGCAAUGCACCUUAUUCUUCAAAGUUCAAUGGCAAGAAGAACAGAAUUUUGUUUACAUAUUCCACUUAUUCAUCAAGGUGGUUUUCUUCUGGGGUGCCAUCAUCCAUGGUUUCUUCAGCUUAUUCUGAUCAAACCAAUAAUAAGAACGUGCCUCCUCCGGUUAAAGCUAUCAGUACCAAAAUGGAAUUCAAUCGGGUGAAUUGUCUUGUGUGGGUAUUGCAUGAGUCUGCUAGGAGCUUUUCCCACACGGUUGAAUCUUUUGAAUUGGCAAGAUGCGGUCCAGAGCUAGCAAUGGCUUGGGUGGGAGUUGAUGUGCAUGCCUGGCAUAAGCGCAUUGCCCAUCAGGUAUGCACUUACACAAAAACCAUUAGCACUAAGUGAUUAGGGUUCUUCCUCCAUAAACUGAUACAGAGUAUUAUGCUUGUACUUUUAUGACUUUCUUGUUGGCAAGAUAAAUUUAAAUAAGAAUUAUACCAUUGUGGUAGGACAGGUAGCAGUGUAUGCUUUGUUAAGAACUGCAAUUGAACUGGAAUUCUUCCUUUCUCAUGGACGCUGCAACAAUCCUUCUCUAGUUCGUGAGAUGUAAGUUCUAAAAUCGUCUUUUAGAAGUCUAAUGUUAAUGGAUUUGCUUUAGUCCUGGAAGUAGUAGUUGGUUAACUAGUGAAACUUGCACAUGCUAUGCCUGAAAACAUCUUUUUGAAGUUUUGUUUGAACUUCCAUACAUGUUGAUAUUCCAUCACUUGUGGCUCAGUUUUGAUGUCUCUUCCUCACUUCAAAGGCAAACGGUGAUUGCAACCUUGUAUGCUAGGACUAAAAUUUUGUUCCUUCAUUUCAUUCAGCUUGUCCCCAAUAAUAAACUCGAUCGAGCAGAACAUAGAAAGCCAGCUGAAGGCAAGGCACCCAAAAUUGGUUGAAUGGUUUAGAAUGGUGGAACUGCCACGUAUAGCGGGAUUUUUCAUUCCAUUGUUGAAGAAGUGGUCUAUGGAAUAUGCUGGAAGGUUAGCUCACAGAAUUCUCAGCUUUUAGUAUAACAUUGUUGAAUCUUGGACAAAUUCCCACUGCUUUUCCAGGUUUAUUUUUUCACCUAGUACCUUGAAUUGGGAAAAUAGUAUAAAACACAAUAAUUUUCAGUGGUGUUGCAGGGAUUAUUCUGGCUAUAAGCUGCUGUGUGGCAGUAGGAAAAUUGGGUUCUGGCCAUAUUUCCUGCCCCUUGUUUAUAUCGUCUAUUGAGGACGCAUUAAUAGAGCUCAUGAAUUUGUCACAUAGUCUUGUUUCAGUGGAUAAAUUGCACCAGUUAGCCACUGAGGCAGGUUUUGAACAGGAGUUCCUGUAUAAUUUUGGUACAAAGAUUCUGCCUAGCCAGAAAAGUGAAGAUGUAGAAUUUUGGAUUGGUUUGGCUCAGAAAAAACUCGCUAAAGCAAUUCGCAGAGAAAGUGUAUUUUCAGGCCUUCAGACUUUUCAAGACAAGGUCAGUUCAGUGAUUCAUGUAAUAACCUCCUGGCCUUUGUCAUGGACACUCUUGGACAAUCCCUAGAUAAUUUCAUUUUCAAUUUACUGAACCAUAAGAGUUUGUUCUAAAGGAUUCCAUCAAAGCUAAGUGUUCAAGUUCUACAGAAGCAAACAUAUAGUUAUCAUCCCAAAUGUCGAUCCCUCAUUCGGAAUUGUGAAUAUUUGAAUGCUAAGGGAAGUAUUUCUCAUGUUCUAAGCCCUGGUCUUACCUUUCUCUAUUAAUGGUUGACAGGUUCAAGAGAGUAAUUGUCUGGCUACUCUAGGAAUUUUUGCAUUUCUGGGAAGAAAAACAAGAUUAUUUUUGUUAGGAAUGGGAAUAAAGGAUCUUGAUGAGCAGGUUAAGGACUUCCUCAGGUACAUCACUCUGCAUUUUUUUUUUAUAACCCUUUUAAACUUCUCAACUUUAUCCUUAGACUCCAGUAGGUUCAAUGCUUUGAUUUCAGUUACUUGGAGUGUGGUAGCCUUUUCAUUUACCCCAAGUUUUCUUCACUCUCUGUGUAUCAACUUUUCAUGGAGGUCAGUUAGUUUCAACACACUUACAAUAGGGAAGGUAAUAUAUGAAAAUAUUCUAAUAUUCAAACUCUCUUUACAGGUAGUAGCUGAUGAAAUUGGAUGGCUUGAUUUUUAUGCUGCAUUUCCUUUGGGAUUCAAUCAAGAGAGAAGGAGGUCCAAACAGCAUGCCAUCCAAGCAGAGAAAGAGAUUAUUUUACAUACUGUUUUUACGGUUUGCUAUGAUGUUUUCUCUGGGUUUGCACAUUUCAGCAGUUCAACUCAGCAGCCCUUAAAUGCAGACUUGUUGGCAUUCUUGCUCCGAAGGUAGUAAGCAUAAUCUCAAUUUUAAAUUUUCUUUCCUGGAGUUGCCAUGAUUGUUGAUUUAUUUUACUUUUUAUAUUUUUUUCAGUCAAAGCCUGCUUACUAGUUGUCUGGAAGACUACUGGGCUGCCUAUGAUAGAUCAGGGUAUGAUAAUGCCGAUUUCUCAAGCAGUCAGCUGCAGAAGAUUGCAGAAAGAAAUGCCCUUGACCAAACACAAUCCAGUGGAACUAAAGACACUACAAGUUCAUCAGUAACCUUGGAUGCACAACAGAAGGUGACUGACUUAAUGGCAAGGAGAAAUCCAGAAAAAAUACCUCAGUCUGGGAAUAAACUGAGCAAGGUAUGAGUCCUCAGUGGAUAGAUGGACCCAACAACAACUGUGAAACACCAUUCUGAAAUUAUUCUUUGUAAAUAAGUGACUGCACUACACAAUUUUAGGCAACAAUUACAAUAAUUUGCUGCUGGCAGGCUAGCUGCAAAGUGGGGACAGAGACAAGAACCCUGGUGGAGGCAGGAAGGACAGCUGAAUCAGAGGCUCUGCAUCAAAAUUUACUCAGGAAAUCCAGCAUGAAGUUGAUAUCUACAAGCUCUGUAAGUCCAAUGAUCAUCUGACUCGAUGAUUAGUAAAAAAAAACCAUCUCAAAGUUCAGAUGCUAAUGCUUCAAAUUGAACUGUGUUUAAGGAUAUAUGGAUGGGCACUCAGCUGCUCUUCAUAGACAUCAUGGCUUCUCUGGAGCUUCUACUAAAGCAAAUGCGUGGCCGCAGGGUUACAGAAAGGGAAAGAAAGAAGCUAAAACAAACACUAGCUGAUAUUGCUUCACUUAUCCCAGUUACAAUUCUAAUGCUACUCCCUGUAAUCACCUACUCAUCAACUCUUUAUUCUCCAAUUUUUUAUCUUUCAUCAUUGGCUGAAGUAGCAGUUGGCUUUCUCUUUUCAUAUCCAUGUUUGUGACUUUUGAUCAGACAAAAUGAAUUAUAAUUGCCAUAGAAGACAAUUUAUCUGGGCUUGCAUCAACUGUCAAAAUAAUUAUAAGAGAGGUGCUUUAAAAUCCUUUUAUCUUUUUCUGUGAUCCAGGUAUCUGUUGUAGGGCAUGCGGCCAUCUUAGCAGCUAUAAAGAAGUACAUGCCAUCCUUGGUAAUUCUUGUCACCCUUUCCCUCACAUUUAUGGUCUUAUCCUUUCUUUCUGCUUAUCCUGUUUCAUUGAUGAUACCGGAUAUUAGAUCCCAUCUCCAUAUUCCUCCGAGCGACUGGAUGUUGUAAAACAACUGAAAAGAAGCAAGAAGAUGGAAGUUCAGACACUGAGCAACCAAGAGGAUGCAUCCUCUGCUAUCUCUCAAAAAUAAAUGGUUGAUGCUAACGUGUUGUCCAUUGAUCACUUGAACAUGACAUGUAUACAUUUCUAUGAACAUGUGGAUGCUUACAUAUAUUCAUUGGUGAUGAUCAAAUUCGUAGUGUCAAGACAAAUAAUUCUAUUAUUCUAAAGUAGAUUUUGCUUAAACAAAUAACUUUAGGUAUUGUUCACUAGGAUGACGAAUAUAUUUGGUAAUUAAGAAAGAAUAUCGUGUGAAUCGAGAUGGCGAUGAUAAAAAAGGGAGACGGUGAAAAAUCAUAUAUGAGAUUUGAAACAAAAUAUAUUAAUGAAAAAACACUAAGAUUUCAAAUUCAUUAGAAAUCAAUUUCGAUAUUAAAAAAGUUAAUAAGAUGUAUAAUUUAUCAAGUUAGGUUGAACCGUUGAAGACCUUAAAAUGUCAUCUAAAUUGAUAUUUAAUUUAACUUUAAAUUUAAAUCCAUUAAAAUCUCAAAUUAUGAAUCUUAAUUGCUUCGAUCAAUUAUUCACAAUUAAGCUCAAUUUAUCUUUAAUUACCUUCUAAUAGAUCUUAUAAUGACUCUUUAUGAUUUCAUCUUAUCAAUAUUAAAUAUUUGGCAAAUUGAUUAAGAUUAUUAUAUUCUUUAUUAAAGGAAAUUAAAAGAUAUUAUUUUUCUCAAGUUAAUCAAUUUAUUCAAGACUACCUUUCAAUCUUAGUUUCAAGCUAUUAAUUCAUCAUGUAUCUUGACUCUAAAUCCUUCCUCCUUUGAUAAAAAUAAAAUCUAGUCACUCAUGUUUGAGAGAUUUAUUACAAAAAAAAUUUAUUAAUAAAAAGAAAAUGUCAAAAAAAUUUAUUACAAAACUUCAUUUUUAAAAGAUAUAAAAAUGGUCAAAAGAUUCAAAAAAAAAAAACUAAAAGAUAAAAAAACUAAAAUGAAAGUUUCUUAUAAGCCAUUUGAUCUGUUAGCAAGUAUAUGUGAAAUUUCCAUGAUCAUAUGCAAUGAUGAAAAUAUUAGUUUUUACUAAAAUAUACAAAAUAAAUAUCACUAAGAUGAGAUUAAAUUGAUAAUAAUACAUAUUAUAUAUAUAUAUAUAUAUAUAUAUAUAAUAUAUUUUGUGACUUUAAGUAAUAAUUUUGUCUUAAAAAUAUAUUUAAAAUAAUUAAUUUGAAUAUGCUUAAGAAUAUAUAUCCACAUAGCAAGGGAGAUUUGCCUUCAAGUUCUAAUCUCUUCCAAAUUUGUAGUUUGGACUCCUUUGGCAUGAUAAUAAGAAAUUGCAAUUUCUUCUCUUUUAAGCAUUUUUCAAUCUUCACCCAAGCUAUCUCUUCUCUAUCUAACAAUUUUCAAUCUUCUUACUAGACAAAUAGACUUCAAAUCAUGAGAACUUAAUGCCUUAAUAUUUGUAAACACGUUUAUUAAUUUUUAGCAUAUAAUUUGGAAUUCAAGAAAUAAUCCAAUUACCACUAAAAAGUACAAACUAAAACUAGUUCAAAAUUAAUAUUAUUUCUUCUCUAUACUCCAUUAUAUUUGUUAUAAAAUUUUAAACUAAACGAAUGAACUUCAAAUAAUGCAUUAGAUCUAUUAAUGAGUAAAUUUUUAAAAAUACUUUGGAACUAAAAAAUAUGCCCAAUAAAUACCAAAAAGUGAAAGACCAAAACUAAUUUAGAAUGAGUCACAACUUUAUUAGUGCAUGUAAUUAUACUUUUAUGAAUUUUUUCGUUAAAAGCAAAUAAAUUCAAAGUGAAGUGAGAUUUAAUGUUUUAAUUUUUUUUAAAUAAAUCUAUUAAUUUUUAAAAAUAAUAUGAAAUAUGAAAAAUUUAUCCAAUUAAUUACAUAUUGAAUCAAAAUUAGUUUAAAAUACUGUGUAUGAGCACUAAAUAUUUAUAUACAACGAAAAUUUUCACUUAUGUAUAAAAAAGGUUAUUGUCAGUUUUGAUUUUUCUAUUGAAAUCUUUAUAUUUAGUUUGGAUCAUGAAAAUACAUAAGCAAAGGGGAAAACACAUCAUUCAUGCAACUUACAAGUCACUGAGUUCAAAAGAAAGGAUAAGAAUUGAAAAUGGAGCUUCAAUGAUGAAAGCAAACAGUAGGGGCACUAACAUGGAAAAGAUGAAAAAGAAGAAAAAGUGGUGGAACCCAACAUAAAGUAAACAUCUCCUUUACAGGCUGUUGGCCACAAUUUAUUGCCUGCUAAAAUGUCUUGCAUAAUCCAUGAAAUUAAUGUUCGUCUAGUCUCCACAAUUAUAGCUGCAAAAAAUUUUUUUCUGGGUGCCAAAAAUCUCUCUUAACAGUUGAUGUUCAGGUAUCCAGAAAAUUAAUCAUAAUUACCAAAAGGAGCAGAGCAUGACUGGUCGAAUCUUUUCGGGCUAAGAAUGAAAAAAGAAGAAGAAAGCAGCAUAUGUGGGACAGGAGAACCAACACUCCCAUCUAUCUCUUUGGAUUCCCAUUACAAAUUGUCUACCACAAUGACCCACCAACGCGUCUUGCAUAAUCUACCCACGAAAAAGUUUUGAUGUGGGAAUCUUUUUUCUUUCUUUUUUUCUUUUCUUUUUUGGUGGGCUGUUAAGCAACUGUUAUUCAUCAGAUCCAUUACGGCAACUCACCCAUCUCCUCUUUUGAGUUCUUCAGUUGUCUUUCAAACUCAUCUUUUUCCUGUCAUCCCCUGAAGCAAUGGAUUGUGUGAGCCCAAUCCUGGACGUCGCCACCUGCUUGUGGGAUUGCACCGCCAAGAGAGCAGUUUAUAUUCGUAAGCUUGAAGAAAAUCUCAAGUCUUUGGAGAGCUCAACGGAGGAACUGCGCAACUUAAGUGAGGAUGUGAUGGGAAGAGUCGAGCGUGAGGAGCAACUACAGAGUAGGCGUACGCAUGAAGUGGAUGGUUGGCUCCGCGCUGUACAGGCCAUGGAAGCUGAAGUGGAAGAAAUAUUGCAAAAUGGGGAUCAAGAAAUCCAACAGAAAUGUCUCGGAACCUGUCCUAAGAAUUGCAGGUCAAGCUACAAGCUGGGGAAGAUUGUGAGAAGAAAGAUCGAUGCUGUGACUGAAUUAAAGGGCAAAGGGCAUUUUGAUUUUGUGGCUCAUAGUUUGCCUUGUGCUCCGGUGGAUGAGAGACCGAUGGGGAAAACUAUGGGCUUAGACUUGAUGUUCGAGAAGGUUCGGAGAUGCCUGGAAGAUGAGCAAGUAAGAAGUAUUGGGUUGUAUGGAAUUGGGGGUGUUGGAAAAACGACCCUCUUGCAGAAAAUCAAUAAUGAGUAUUUUGGUAAAAGAAACGAUUUUGAUGUUGUGAUGUGGAUAGUGGUGUCGAAACCAAUCAACAUAGGAAAUAUUCAAGACGUGAUCCUAAAUAAAUUAACGGCCCCAGAUGACAAAUGGAAGAAUCGAAGCAAGGAAGAGAAGGCUGCAGAAAUAUGCAAGUUGUUGAAAUCCAAAAACUUUGUGAUAUUGCUUGAUGAUAUGUGGGACCGACUCAAUCUCUUGGAGGUGGGGAUCCCUGAUUUGAGUGAUCAAACUAAGUCCAAAGUAGUACUCACUACCCGAUCUGAACGAGUAUGCGAUGAAAUGGAGGUUCAUAAGAGGAUGAAGGUAGAGUGUUUGACACGGGAUGAAGCGUUUUCUCUGUUUCGCGACAAGGUUGGUGAGAAUAUCUUGAAUUCACAUCCAGAUAUAAAAAGGCUUGCUAAGAUUGUUGUUGAGGAAUGCAAAGGAUUGCCGCUUGCCCUCAUCGUCAUCGGGCGAGCAAUGGCUAGCAGGAAAACUCCUCAAGAAUGGGAGCAAGCAAUACAAGUGUUGAAGAGUUACCCAGCAAAGUUUUCAGGUAUGGGAGAUCAAGUAUUUCCGAUUUUGAAAUUCAGUUACGAUCACUUGGACAAUGACACCACCAAAUCAUGUUUCCUAUAUUGUUCGCUAUUCCCUGAAGACCAUAAAAUUUGGAUUGAAGACCUCAUAGAUCUUUGGAUCGGGGAGGGGUUUAUGGACAAAUUUGUUGAUAUAUAUGAAGCACGCAACCAAGGAGAGGAGAUUAUUAGAAGCUUAAAACUUGCAUGUCUCUUGGAAGGUGGUGUAUCGGAACACACUUGUAAGAUGCAUGAUGUGAUCCGUGACAUGGCUCUAUGGUUAUCAUGUGAUUAUGGGGAAGAGAAACACAAAAGUUUUGUACUAGAUCAUGGUCAAUUGAUUGAAGCAUAUGAAACUGUGAAAUGGAAAGAAGCUCAACGGAUUUCACUAUGGUAUUCUAAUAUCAAUGAAGGACUCUCUCUAUCACCCUGUUUCCUCAAUCUCCGAACUUUGAUUUUGAGAAAUAGUAACAUGAAGUCACUUCCAAUUGGAUUCUUCCAAUUCAUGCCUGUCAUAAGAGUUUUGGAUUUGUCGUACAAUGCAAAUUUAGUGGAGUUACCUCUGGAGAUUUGUAGAUUAGAGAGUUUGGAAUUUCUUAAUCUAGCAAGGACGGGUAUAAAAAAGAUGCCUAUAGAGCUGAAGAAUUUGACAAAACUGAGGUGUUUGAUAUUAGACAAUAUAUGGAAGCUUGAAGUAAUUCCACCAAACGUGAUAUCUUGCCUUUCAAAUUUGCAGAUGUUUAGGAUGCAAUUAUUAAACAUUGAAAAGGAUAUUAAGGAAUAUGAGGAAGUUGGAGAGUUGCAGGAGUUGGAGUGCUUGCAAUACCUGAGUUGGAUAAGUAUCACGUUACGUACAAUCCCAGCUGUUCAAAAAUAUCUCACCUCCUUGAUGCUGCAGAAGUGCGUACGACAUUUAGCGAUGGGCAACUGCCCAGGUUUGCAGGUGGUGGAGUUGCCACUUUCAACUUUGCAAAGACUCACUGUGCUUGAAUUUCAAGGCUGUUAUGAUUUGGAACGUGUUAAAAUAAAUAUGGGACUGUCUCGAGGUCAUAUCUCAAACUCAAACUUCCACAACCUUGUUAAGGUGUUUAUUAACGGGUGUCAAUUCUUGGACUUGACCUGGCUUAUUUAUGCUCCAAGCCUUGAGUUGCUGUGCGUUGAAGACAAUCCUGCAAUGGAAGAAAUUAUAGGGAGUGAUGAGUGUGGAGACUCAGAAAUUGACCAACAAAAUCUCAGCAUAUUCUCAAGACUUGUGGUGUUAUGGUUACGUGGUCUCCCAAAUCUAAAGAGUAUCUACAAGCAGGCCUUGCCAUUUCCUUCCCUCAAAGAGAUCCAUGUGGCUGGUUGUCCAAAUCUAAGGAAAUUGCCAUUGAAUUCCAAUAGUGCCACCAACACUUUAAAAGAAAUUGAGGCGCAUCGAAGCUGGUGGGAGGAGUUGGAGAGGGAGGAUGACAACCUCAAGCGCACUUUCACUUCGUAUCUUAAAAUAUGAACGUGGUGAUUCAAAGGAGGAGAUGGUUCUAGAGUUGUAUGUCAUGGAGGUUUGCAGGAAUUGUUGGGUUUCCUUCACUUCCUUUAAUUUCCUCCCUGUUUUGUGAGAAAUCCAUUGGUCUUCCUCUGCCAGGUACAUUUUUCGUUUUUGCUUCCAUUUGUUUAAUGUUAUGAGAGAUGUUUUAAUGCAACGAAGAAUUGUGAAAGAGGUGAGAUUCUCAUGAUAGGCAAAUGAAUGAUUGUUUUUGUAGGACAAGUUGGUGGUGGGUGAUUGGAUGCUGGGAAUGCAUAGCAAGAAUAGCAUAAAUAAUUGUUGAAAAGAAAGAACCUUUCGUAUGGUGAUCAAUUUCCUAUGUUUCUAUUGCCUCAUGUGUUUUAUCUAUAAAAUUUGACCAUUCUUAGCUUAAGUUUUUUGCAUUGAAAUAUUCUGAAUAUUAUCUUAAGGCAAAAACGUCUUAUAGUGUGUGAUCGCUUGGGUGGGGUGAAUAAAUACCUCUCCAAUUUAAAAAGUUUUGCAUUUUUUGAUUCAAUUAUAAGAUUUUGCUUACCCUAAACAUAAUUCUCUUUUAGAAUUUAAUAUUAUUUAUAAAAAAAAAAAAAAAAAAACAAGUGUAAGGAUUAAAUUAAGCUAUGGGUGAAAGUAGAUGAGUGAUUUUCUGUAAUUUAAUCUAAGUAGAUGAGUGAUUUCCAAUAAUUUAAUCUACUUUUUAUUUAUAUAAUUUUAUUUUUUAUUUUUUUGGGAAAAUAAAAUAAUAAAAAUUCAUAAUUAUAUAAAAACAAAAUAAAAUUAUUUUUGAUGAUUUUUAGUAAUUUUUUUAUGAGCUUGGAAAAUUUCAUUACAUUAUAUCAAUAUUAUUGGUUUGGUAAAAAAAAUGGAAUAGGUGAAAAUGAAGUGUCACUUUCCUUCUUCACAAUUUUUAAGAAAAUUAAUGAAGUAAAGAAAAUUCAUAGUUAAAAUAAUUUUAAAUUGUUUUAAAAGUUAUGAUUGUAAUAAAAUCGAAACAUACUUCAUCUUUUUUCAGUGAAAUUUAACAUUUUAAAUUUAUUAGCUUUUAUUUACUUACAUGUAAUAAAAUGUAGGCACCACCUUAAAAAAAUAAUGACUUAAAAAAAGUUAAGAUGCUAAAAAAAAUUAUUAUUUCAAAAUUUAAAUUUGUAAAGGCAUAAUCCAAAUUUGUAAAAAUUAAAAUUUUAUAAUUUUUUAAAUUGUGAUUUAAAAAAAUCAAAAAUUAAAAUACAACCAAACAAACCCACAAUCAAAAUUGACAUUUUUCUUACUUUUUAGUCUCCCUUCCUUUUAAAGCUUUGCAUUUGACCUAGUGCCUGGAAGUAUACCUUAUCUUUUUUUCAGUGAAAUUUAAUAUUUUAAAUUUAUUAGCAUUUAAUUACAUGUUUGUCUUUUAAAAUUUAUUUAUUUGAACAUGUUAAAGCAUAGAAAAACUUCUUACUUUAAUUUUAAUAUUUAAUUUAUGAAAUUCAAAAUCAUUUACAAUAUUUAUGAAAUAUUUAUUUGUUAUUAUUUAGCACUAAGAAAUAAUGGUGAUUUUCUUAUUCUUUAUUGUUACCUGGUUUACAUCAUUUUUUAACUUCAGAAAAUAUAGACUCUAUCUAAAAAUUGACUCAACUUUUGACUAAUUGUUUGUAUGUUAUAUUUACUUGUGCCGUGAUUAAAAAGGUUUAGGGGUGCAACUUGUCUAAAUUGACCCAACCUAAUUUGAAUCUAAUUCCCAGGUUUGAACAAUUAUUUUCAAUACUUAAGUUGAAUUUGAGUUAGAUUUUUUCAUCACAAACCAAUUUAGAUUGAGUUCAGGUCAAGAUUCAAAUAACUCAAGUCUUACUUACAACCAAUUUAAUGUUUUUAUUUUAUUUAUAAUACAAAAUAUUUUAUAUGAUAAUAUUUGUUUUCUUUUUAGAUGUUUAAGAAAAAAUAUCAAAUUAUAUUAAAUCAAACUUUCAUUUUUUUAGAAUAAAAAUUUGUCUUUAUUUACUAUCGAUCCUAGUCUAACCCAACCAAAAAUAUCACUUUUUUAUUUUUUUUUUUAGAAUGAAAUUUUGCUUUAUUUACUACUAAUCCAAGCCUAACCCAAUCAACCAGACCAAAUUAACAUAAAUGAUGUUAGGUUGGACUUAAGUUGAAUAUCUUGAGUUAAAAUUGGUUUAGGUAAGACUUAAGUUGAAUAUCUUGAGUUAAACAUUGGUUUUGGUUGAACUCAAAUUGAUUAUUUCCUAAUUCAGACUAGACUCGGAUUAAUCAUCAAUCCUAUCAACUCGCUCAAAUUACAAACUAAUUAAAUUUUAUUUUUGGGUAGCCCAAAAUCAAAAUAGUAAUAAUAAUGACCCAUGCCUUUCUACGUAGGGCAAGAUGUCCCAUAGAUAGAACCAAAAUUUGUUAGUUACUCCAAAAUAAAAGUUUGUUAUACUUUGAUUGCAUAAAAGUAUUAUCUAAUAUCUUUUCCCUUUCCUUUUUCAAUCACAUUUUGAAAUUUUAACAGUGAUCAAGAAAUUUCACCGGUGAUUAAGGAAUUUUAACGUUUGGAUGGCAUCAAAAUCAAAAUAGUAAUAAUAAACCAAUGCCUUUGGUUUGUACGGCAACAUGUCCCAUAAAUUUGAACCAAAACCUGUUAAUAACUGCAACAUAAAAAGAUGAUUAUGCUUUGAUUGCUUCAAAGUAUUAUCCAAUAUCUUUUUCCGCUUUUUUUCAAUCACAUUUGAACCUGAUUUACAUCGACAAAUUGCAAGGAAAGUCGAAAGAAACAAGUGACUCAAUAAUCUAAUCAAAUAAUAGAUUGGGUCUGAAAGUGUGUUGAAUCAACAUAAAAACAGAUCCCUCAAUCCAACAAAUGUAUCUACCACAAGCAUUCCUCAUAGAAGAAAGGUUAUAAAGAAACAACUCUACAAAUCCAUUACAAUGUAAAGAAAAGCAAGGAGUGCCUCCACUUACAGAAUACCCAAAGUUGAGAAACCAAACUUACACAACCACAUUCUCUCACUCUUCUUCCAUCUUCCACUACACCACAAAUCUGCAAUUUUUCCACUCUCUUUCCUUUUCAGUUGUGGGAUUUUCCCCGUUUUAUAAGUUACAGUCCUAUUUUCAUUGAAACAUGACUCUUUUAACAUCUCCAGAUGUCCCAUUAUUGCAAAAGAAUUCAGCUUCUCAGUUGAAAGAAAAUAACCAGCUGCGAUAUACUUGCCUAAAAAUAAACAUGUCAUCAUUGACGUGUUCAGCGUAAGAGCUCCAAUUCAAAUCACCCUCUUUGGAUCUCGAGCAGCAGCCAGAUGAUCCUGCAGAACAGAUGGAGAGUAGCACAGCAUGCAUGAUAUCAGUAAUACAGAUCGAAAUGCUGCACAAUAUUUCUCUGAGAAAGUGAUGGAAGGAUUUCGUCCUUCUAAUUUCUAGUGCAUGUAUCAAGUGCCUGCUCUACUGCAGCAUCAUCCCAACCCAUCCCACUGAAAAUAAUAAUAAUAAAUAAAUAACUGGUAGCGAAAAGGUAGGUCAAAAACUUACAGAGAUAAAAUCAAAUGCUUUUGUCUCCUCUUUCUUUGAACUGGUCAUUACUGCAGUGGGACUUUGAGUAGGAAUAUGUGGAUGAAAAAUGUCAGGGAGGGGUGAAGAAUAUCCUCCUUCCAUUGUUCCACCAGCAUGACCCAUGCCAGCACUUUGAGAAGUCAGGUUCCCCAGCUGCUGAAAGUUGGACAUUGCUGCUAGGAACUGCUGCUGGGCAAAGAAAUUCCCCAUGGCACCAUAAUUCAUUGGUUGAGAAGGAAAAGCUGGAUUGAACAUAAUGCCUGGAGGGAUAUUAUAGGGCAUUGAACCCAAAGGAAACAUGGCAUUUGCAUUCAUGCCAGCCGUUUCAGAACCAAAACCAUUCAAAGCAUCAUUGGAGACUUGCUUGGGGGAGUAACUAUUUGAAUCUGAGAACACAGUCUCAGAGAGUGCCCCAGGAAGCAUUCCUUUCUGUGUCGUAUUUGAGACAUUUCCAUUAAUGGAUAAACCAGCCAUUAAAUCAUUAACAUCCUUUUUAUGAUUUUCUUGCUCCUGAGGAAGUUCAGCAUUUGACCCAAAAAUAUCAAAUAGUUCAGGUUCAUUACUAGUUGCUGCCUUAGGAAUCUCAUUAGCACCCACUUUAUCAUCAACAGUCAUUCCUGAAAAGAGGUCAUCUACCUGUUCUCUAGCCUCGCCACUGAGAAAUGAGACAUCUGCAAAGGGAUCGUCAUCAUUUUUUUGUUCACCAGUGUUCUCACUAACACCAAGACCAUCUCCAAAUAAAUCAUCAAUUAGAGGGCUGGUUGAUGUUGUCAAAUUUGGUACACUUUGAUCACUUUGGGUUUUUAUAGAAUCUUCUGCCCCAUAGUAAUCAUCUGGACCACCAGUGUCUAUUAAGUCAGGCAUCUGAACUGCAGGCACUGUCUCAGUCUUCAGUGGCUUUUCAGGAGGGCUCAUUGUGCUGCCUGUUUGCUCUCCACCCAAAAGGCUUAACACCUGUCAAUUAAAAUCCAAAUGUCAACCACAAAAUGUACUCCGAGGAUUCAUGGAAGUGAGUUUCUGGCCCCACUAUAGGUUUUCUUAUUCAAUGUUUUAGAUCAGGUAUAAAGUCAUCAGGAAGACAAAUUUUGCCUCAUUAAGAAAAAAAGAAUGAAAACAAAAAUGAAGCAUGAUACAUCUUGCAAGAAUGCCCCACCCAGUGUGUGGAUUUCCUUUGAGAUAGAAAACUUGUACAAUAAUUCCUGAAUCAGACUCAACUUUCAAUCAAGAGACUAAAACAUGCAAGAAAAUUUAGAAAGAGAAGUGGGAAAACUAAUUUUUUUAGGAAUCUGAAAGACAAAAUUAGAAAAUAAUGGCUUUAUCACAGAGGCAGCAAGUAAAGCUAAUGCAACAUUUUGAACUCUUGAUUUUUUUCCCUUAAUAUAGAACUUGAUUGUUGAUAUUUUCAAAUUGCAAAUGUGAAAUUUGUACAGGCCUUGUUACCUAAAGAGGCAAUUGUUAGUCAGUCACUAUUUCAUAGUCAGCCAGAAACUUUUGUAACCAUUUCAAUGAUUCUGAGCUUUACCUGGUUGAAUAGUUGGUCAAUGAGAUUAUCAAUGAAUUCAAGUUAUUCAAAACCCAGUUAGCUUUAGCACAAUUAUUUUACCAUGUUCAAUGUCAUUCACUGCUAUGCAUGGACCCCAACUAUCAUGGAAAUUAUUAUUCCAUUUCCUACUACUAAUCAAGAAAUUCAAUUUGGUGAUAGAAACUCAAAAGACUGGCAUCACUCCCACAACCUACCAAUAUACUCAACAAAAGACAAGCAUCCCUCCUAUAAGGAUUCAUGAAACAACCUCAAAAUUUAUCAAACAAAGAGGCCAACUGACAACUUAAAGACAGAGAACUAAAGAAGAGAGAGAGAGAGAGAGAGAGAGAGAGAGAGAGAGAGAGCAGAUCUAGCCUCAACGAUUGAUAAUUCUUCAAUAGCGAUUUUUCAGUAUAAUCUGAAUUUACCCCUCCUUCCACUAUUAUAUGUUACUAGUCCUCCAAAAUUCUCCAUAUCUCCCUUUGUAUUUCAUUUUUCUUUUACUUUUUAAAAAUAAGUAAAAAUACUUACAUGCCUUUAGCCAUCAUAACUACAAACCAAACAAUUCUAUCACUAAGAAUUCUGAACGCCUAACACCAUAUCAUCUUAUUAAAGACAUGCAAACAUCUAUUAUUUCCUUUUCCUGUUAAAAGGGAAGAGAAGAAAAAUGAACCUCAAAAUACAUUUCUAACGUAAAGAAAUUUACCUUGUUUGCCUUUUCCCUCAGUGAAGCUUGGGGAGACUCGCAACAUUUCAACACAACAUCUUUGUUUUCACAAAAAUAAGAUGCUACAGUUGAAAACUGUUCUUCAUCCUUUUUCCUCAAAAUUGAGUCAAGCACACAAACAGCUUUCAUCCGCACCUGACAGGAAGGCAGUACUGUACUAAUCAAAAAUGAAAAUAAAAAAAAAUGGGUAUGCAUUCAUUUCAUUUGAAUAUUGAUUGCUAGAAAAAUUGCACCAUGUUUGUUUUAAAAUCAUUUUUAGACACCAAACCAUAGGAAUUUCAAACCAGUUUAAAUGUUUAAUGUUGAAUUAAAAACCUCCACAAGAAAAUUUUGUUUGUGGAAGGGCAUAUAGUAACCAGUAUAUCAAUAUAAGGAACAUACCUGCCACAGAGGAGAAUGGAGCUUUGAUUCAAGGGCAUGACUUAACGCCAAAGCAUCCAACUUUGCAGCUUCUAUGAGGAAAAUCUGAAUAGCAUCUCGAGUGGGCUGCAGACGUACACCUCCUGAUGUCACUAUUGUUUCCAAUAAUCUCUCCUCACGGGUCUUACUCUCAGCAAAGCUUGAACUGGAGUCUCCGUUGGUAGUUUCUGACUUGGUUAUUCGUACAUCCUGGUUCCAAGGCCCACCAGAAACAUUCUUUGAGCUGCCAAAACUACUUUGGGUUUCAUUUUGAUGUUCAACUCCUUCAUAUCUAUCUUGGUACUCAAUUUCUGUAGUCAAUGACCUUCGAAGAUUUGGACUCUUGUAGCUUCCAUUAUCAUUCUUCCUUAGCGAAUGACCUUGUGUGAUACUACUAAUUCCCUGUUUGAUAGAUGUACUUCCAAGACCAACUACCUCACUGAGAAAUGAUUUCUUAUCUUCUGAUGGCAUCUCAUAGUUUGUAUUCCCAAAACCUUGAAUUCGUCUAUUAAGAUCUUCUGAAGGUGCUGGCUUAUUUUCCUCUGCAGCAAAGAUAGCAGAGAUAGUUUCUUGAGCCGUGUCUCGAACAGCCUUAUUAAGGGCAUCCCCCUUCAAAGCAUCUAACUGGCCCUUGUAAUGGAGUAACUGUCGCACAGCCACUGAGUGUCUUUGCAUUUCCCUUCUAAACUCCACACCUGACUUUCCCACCGCAUAUUUAAUCAGCCUUAGAGCCUGUACAAUAUUCAAGAAAAAUACAAACCAACAUGACUUAUAACUCAACGGAAAAAGCCAAAAUACAUUUCUUAUGAUGGCUGUACAAUAAUCCAUAAAAACUAAUAUGGAAAAGAGCACUACUGAGAUGAACUGUCACAGUUGUCAGUCAUUUUUCUUCAAAGUGAAAAAGAGAAACAAUGAGGCAUAGGCUUUAUGAAUUUCCAUUAUAACUUGUUUGUUUACACUAUCCUAAAACUCAACUGCUCCAUAUCUGCGUGACAUGCUAACCCAGAACCAAGGCCCAGUUUGGGUCUAUGAAAGUGCAGGCAGAAGGAAAGGAAAAUGGUUAAAAUUACUAAAAAAUUGCUUCAUUUCUAAAGACAUUUCAGCAUUUUCCUUCCCUUUCCCUCAUUCUUUUCAAGAUCCAAAUAAAUGCCUAAACUUUUCUGGUUUAAACAAUUGUAAAGGGUAUAAAAAUGAAUAUAUUUUGCAAUACCGGUACCCUGUAAAUUUUUACAUCUUAAUCCAGCUUGGCAGCCUAGAAAAUGCAGGGAAAUCAAAACAGAUCAAAAUUUUGCAUCUUAUAGUUUUUUUAUUCACAAGCCGUCACCGGACUGAACCCAAUGCAGCAAUUUGAUUUAAUUAACAUAAGCCCAUCAACUUUCAGAUACCAAAACAAAACGAAAUCCAAUACGAAAAUUAGAAUUCCUUACGGUCCCUGCAGUUUCUCAUCACCCAAAUAGAAAGCUGACUCUCCAUUAAUUAAAAAACAGAGUUUUCAACUAUCAAGAUCCACCAAAUCCCAGUUCCCAGCCUAUCAAUUUAUAACAAUUAACACGAGGCAGAGAAUCCAGAAUUCCAUACCUUCUGUCUAACAACUGGGCUCUUAUGAUCGAGCCGUUUCAAAAUAAACUCAGAGACUUCCUUCACAAUACUAACAUGCGAAGACCGAAGGAGCUCGCAAAUCUCUUCUAAUUUGUAAACAGGCGUGACCUUGUCUUCGUCAGACGUUGCUCCAUCAAUCAUUCGCGAUCUCCAGUACGAUUCCACAGCUCUCCUGCUCGAAUCCAUCCCUCAAACCCCCUCAAAAAAACUCUAAUCUCUAGAAACUAAUGAAUCUUGACCCAAUUCAAAACCCUAGAAACACAAACCCCAGGAAAGAUCAUGCAUGUGCCAAUACAGAAUUGGGAGUUUCAGAUCGAAUCACAACCGUACAAAACCAGGAAUAUUCAAGAAAAAGGCACCGAUUUGAUGGAAUAAUCGAAAUGAUUCGAUGGAAUGAUCAAAACCAUCGGACUAUAGGGGCUGAUGCACACAAUUGGAGGAUUUGGGUGGAUGAAAAUUAGGGUUUAUGAGGGAGUUAAAAGAGAGUUUCAGAAAGAUAUGGAGAGAAAUGGGGGUUUGAUGAUGGGAGAGGGGAAGAAAGGGUUCACAAAAUGCAGACAGGUCUGGGAAUUGAGUCACCGAUCUGUUGUUUACGUCAAGAGUUUGGUUUCUUCCACCCGCGUACGUUAGCACUCGCGGCCCCAAAUAGUGGUUUUGGACCUCAUAGGUUAGAAAUUGAGUCGAAAUUUUUAUUUACAUUUUCUCAAAAUAGAAACUUCGAAAAUAAUAUAAAUUAAAAUUUUAUUUUUUUAAAAAAAUACAAUCAAUUUUAUACUAGACUUGAUAUAACAUACACACCAUUGUGUAAUUAUACCCAUCAUUUAAGUAUUGAAAAUAACAAAAUCACAUUGAUAACAUUUUUAACAUUUUCCUAUUUUAUUUUAUAUAUAUAAUAUUUUUUAAAAGAAAUUUAAAAUAUUUUUAAUUUAUUUUUAAAAUUUUUAAAAAUAAAUUUUAUGUUUAAUAUUUUAUUUAUUUGAUUACUUCAAACUUAUUUUACUUAUUUUAACUCUUUAAUAUAAAAUUUAAAUAAUUUAAAUAUAUAUAAAUUUUAAUAAAUGCAACCAUACUUUUUUUUUUUUUUCUUAAAACAAAACCUAUUCUAAAGUGGUAAGAAGAUGAUCCACAGAAGUGCAAUCUCAAAAUGUCAAAUGCCAUUACAGUCAACAUCCCACUACCACUCCUGUUGAUUGCUUUGAGCAUGGAGUCUACUCAUCAUAUAUUCAUAUUCCCUGAUAUUCAUGUUGUGAAUGAUACCAAAUACUGAAAGGCCCCCUACCAAAAAGGGACACAACCCAGAUGCAGAGAGAAGUAUACAAGCAGCACAUAGAAUCAAAACCUUACAGAACGCAAAUUUCCAUCAACAUGAUGAAGAAUACGCUAAUUAUAUUGAUGAUUGAAUCAUUUUUCUCUUUUGUUAAGAGGCCAAACCUGCAGAAAUUACAUCAUCCAGUUCGUCAACAGUCAUCUCAUUCCUAAAGAGGAGUUUAAGGUAUGGAAGAACUUUUGGGAGGACAGGCAAAUCUGCCAUGUUAACACUCAUCAGGUCGAAGGCAAUGCAUGUUUUGUGCAUAUGGGCAUCAUCAAAAACUGGAAUUUUUGGGUAUCUUUGGCUGAAGUGGGUAAGGAUGAUCCGGUAUGCGCCAGCAGAGUUCCCAACUUCGAUUGCUUCAUUUGUUGUGCUGUGGUUUCUUGCUAUUGCCUCAUCCACCAUCCCCUCCUCAAAAGUUGCCUGCAACAAUCACAAGAACAAGGUGGUCAAUCAUAUUUUUCCUUUCUUUUGCCUCCCUUUUUACCAACAAAGGUUGAACAUGGUCCUUCACCUUAAUAAUUAAUAUUUUAAAUCAUGUCAUAACCUUGUUAUGAAAUCUCUAUAACAAAAAAACCAUGUAGACAUCGAGAAAUCAUUCCAAAGCAACAUAACUCUAGGUAUCAAAUCUAAGCUUCUUCCUAGAACCCUAGGUUGACAAUUAUGUCAGAGGUAAUAGUCUUCAUAAAAUUCUGUUAUAUUACUUAAAGAAGAAAAUGAAAUCUAAAAAAUAUUAUAUUAUGAGAUGAAAAAACACAAAUUCUUGUGAAAACUUGCCUCGUGUAUAAGAACUGUUGCUCCACGAGCUGCUUCUAUUAGUUCUGGGCAGGGCCUAGUGUCACCAGAGUACACAAUCUUCCACCCUGGUAUAACUUUUCCAACACUAUUGAUUCUCUCUGAUGCUUUCAAGACAACACCGAAUGCCUGGGGACAGUGCACAACAGGAAAGCUGAUCAAAGCCUCCAAACCUGCUUCACAGAGCACUUUCUUCAAGUUCUUUAGGAUUGGGAAAGCCACGCUAUGGUCAACAGGACUCCCUGGUCUCUUCCAAUAGCUCUGCAUACGACUUCCUUUAGCAAAUAAAGAGGAAUCAAUAUUUUGAUUCAUUAACUCAACUGUAUUUCUAUUGUUUACAUCCUCAAAACUGACUGGACCUUCUGGAGAAGAGUGUUCCUUGUUUGUUUCAAAACUGCACUCGAAAGCAUUCAGUGAAACUUCUGUGGUGUGCCUGCAAUCAAGGAACUGCAUAUCUAGAUCUUCAAGUUUUUGGUAUGCAUCUAGAUAUCUCUUAAGCUGCCUUGGCCCAAUAACAAGCAAAGGUUCAUGAGGUACUCCCUUCAACAAAUCACGUCGCAAAGUAAGUAUUCUUGCCAGACCCGCAUGGUGAUCAGCAUGAAUAUGAGAAAUCCAAAUACAUCUUAAACCCCUCACAGCAUUGUCAGCACCCUCUACACUAAAUCUGUUCUCAGAACACAUAAAACCAUUCAAGUGUUAGGGUAAUGGAGAAACUAAAACAACAGUAUUGUGCAUUUAAAAAUUCAUAAACAGUGAUUUUUACCUUCGUUUCAGUUGUCCCAGGGUUCCUUCACCGCAAUCUAGGAGCAAACUUCCCUUUGAGAAAAGAUUAAUAUAAAUAGAAGUAACAUUUCUGUAUUUAGAUGGCUGGGAAGAACCAGUCCCUAGAAGAACAAUCUCCAUGUCUUCUCUUGUUAUAUUCUCCAAACAACCAGGAAGAGUAUUCCAAUUCAACCAUGGUUCUUCAAUCAUAACUUUAUCAUCAUGCAUGGGAGUUAUCUCCCCUUUUGCUUCUCCAAACCCAUUCCAAAAUUGGCCUACUUCUUGGGCAGCAUCUACAACCUCUGGGAUCUCUGAAACUAAGUCAUCAAUUAUUUCUGAGGGAGAGCUCAAACUCGGUAUACCAGAUCUAUCCAAACCAAGCUGUGCAUAUGGGCGCAAAUGGAACUGUCCCACAUAGGGGAGAAUGUUAUUACUAUCUCAUCUGCUCUCAUUAAAUUAAGCUACCAAGUUGGUCCAACGUCAUAAAAUUUUCAUACCUUUAGAAGAUUUUCAGCAGCAACGCUUUCACAAAGCUUUGUAACAGAACCCUGGAGACAAGAAACAAACUGUUCAAUUACCCCAAAUCAUGAUAAAAUGUAGCUACUAAAAACUAAUCAUUGCCGUGUCAAAACAAUGUGAUAACAAACAAACCUCACUUGAAGCAAUCAAUUCUGGAAUUGAGUGGUUAAGAUGCCGAAGAGACCAAAAACCUGGGGCUGGAAAGAACCGAGGACAAAGGUAGUUAAGUCGUGCUGCAAUUCUUGCACUAGAUUUUAGAAUCGGAAUUUCCACAUUCUUCCUGCACAUAAAACGAGAAACAUUAAUUGCUGCAUUAGCAAACUAGUAGGAAUCACUAAUCAAAUAUAAUUGCUGCAUGAGCAACCACGUAGGAAUCAGUAAUCAAACUACCAAAGUAAGGAAAUAUAUGCUUCUGAAAGAAGGAAUUACUAAGAAGAUGAUGAUGAUGAUGAUGAUAAUGAUUGUGUAGGCAAUAAGUAACGUACAUUUCAUGUCCAGCCAUGAUAUGUUGGGCAGCACCAAAUCUCUUCAUCCACACUUGGUAAUUGGGAGCCCUUACAACAGAUGCAGGACUUAAGUGAAUUACACAAUUCACUGUUUUGGCACUCUCUGGUGGGUUGCUUGACGAACCAGCAUAAUAACUACUGAGGGAUUCCACGGAUAAAAGGUCCUGUAGAUAUGAUUCCGUUGGGCAGUCUACAAGCAAUACAAGAGGACCAGGAAUAGAAGGUCCCAUCACAUCACUUGGAUGAACCUAAAAAAUAAGAAAAACAAAGCUAUGGAUCAAAACAAAUGGUAUGAAACAUACAUAGAACACCAUAAGUAAACCCACCAUGAUAUUUUUUCGAUCUGACACUACUGAUUUCCCAAGCUGUAAUUCACGGUAUUUUGGCCCAGCUUUCAGUCCAAGAGCCACAGCUUUUUGAGGGUCAAAUUUCCCUUUAAUCUCAGGCAAUUCACAAACAUAAAUUACAGAAAUAUCACCAGGCUUCACCAUAGCACCAGCUUUGCUGUCUUCACCUGCUGAAUGUGGUAAAAUUGGUUCCUGAAGAUGAUCCCUUCUCCCUUCUAUGCCUACUUCAGAAGGAUAUAGCAUGUUGGGUUCCUCUGUCACAAUCUGAGAUCCUUUCAGGCAACUUGGUCGCAAGAGAAUGGCUGAUAUUUUCACAACUUCAUCAUCAAUGAGAACAAUGGGAUCUGAAAACUCCCUAAGAUCAGGAAUAGGAGCACCAUCAGAACCAAGAGCUUGCCCAAAGCUACGAGUAUGGACCAUGGCAGCAUUUGGGAUAAAGGAUCUCAUUGCAUCAACUAAAUAUUUAAGAUCUGAGGGACCCCAAAUAUUGACCUUUAAGGCAACAGAAAGAAGAGAUUAUAGUCAUACAUGUUAAAGUAUUAAUCUGACCAACUUCUAUGGAAGAAAAUGAACAGAGAUUAAAUCAAUCUGGUACUUACAGACAUUCCUUCAUCUCCCAUGCCAGCCAAAGUCAAAAGAAGCCCUACGAUAUAGAGUAACAAUGGAACAAUUCAGUUUCUCUUGCAGUCCUCACUUUGCAUCAAAAUCAAAAAAUGAAGUAGAGUAGUAAUGCUUUUGAAAAUGUGAUUCCACCCCGAGUAUUUCAAAUGUUCUCCUUUUAUAAGUGGAACACAGUUGCAAGUGCAACUUAAAGAAGACCAUGAAGGCACAGACCUGGAAGUCCACCAGCCGUUUCAGAGCAGACACGAGACAGAAAUAUGUGAUCAAUCUAAACAAAGAUAAAGUGUUAAAAUGCCUUCCUGCAAUUAGAGGAAUAAUUCCCUCCAUCAAAGAUGAAGGAAACUUGAAAUAUAGACCCAAAAGAAGGAACAAAAUAUGUAUUCUCAAGUAUUUAUACCUUUGACAACUUAAUCUUAUGCUCUGUGCAGAAACGUUGCAAGCCCUGGAAAGAAACUAAUACGUUAAGAGGUUAGGGAUAUAAUCAUUUAAGAGGUUCAUAAAAUUCUCUAGCAGAAGCUGCCAAAUCCAAAAGUAGAUUGAGUAUCACUUUAUACACAAUUUUACAAAAUAUCAAAAGGGUCUUUACAUCCUUCAACCUUGCCUAUUUUGGACCAUCCAUAUGAGGAAUCAGGUUACCAGAACUUGAGUUCCAGUUACAUAAAUCAACAAAAUUUUGAUAAGCAAGCAACCAGUGUCUGAUAAUGUAACAAUAAUUAUUGUAAAGACUAAAAGAAAACCAGGUUACUUGGUUAUAUGGCAAUCAUCUAUGGACUCUGCCAUCAACUGUUGACAUUUGAAAAGCAUUAAAUAUGAGGGCAAAACAUCUUUCAACGAGGGGCAGUUUCCAAGAUAAGUCCUUCACUUAUAUCAGUUUACAGUACAGUGGAAAAAGACCAAGCAAGCUCAAGUGUCAAAAGGACUCAUUUUGGUUGUAUGAUCCAUCUAUGCUUUUCAAGGAAACUAUUUUCUAAAUCCAUGUAAAGACUCAUUUGGAGGUAAAAUAAAGCAUAAUAGCUCACAAAAACUAUUUUCAAUCUCGGUUUUGGAUCCAUGCUUGGCAAAUCAUUUCAUGGGUUUUUUUUUCUUUUUCAAAGAAUAAGAAAGAAGAAAGUUAAUUCAAAAAAAAAAAAUCCAUUGAUUGGGAUACAAAGCGUCAGUAGAUAAAUCCAUCCUCUGAGAUUGGAAUUGAUUAAUAUGGCCUUCAUUUUAUUCCAUUAUGUGAAGAGGAUUCUUUAGCCUUACAAGCAGUAACAAAGUAGUUGCCCCAUGGAUGUAAACAAGAAGAGCAAAACAAAAUAAGUCUUUUAUGGCUCUUCCUCUAAAAUUCACAAGGAACUUUCUUUUUUGUUUUAUAAGAUAGGACCAAGACCUCAUGGUUCAAUGCCACAAUACAACUGGUUCAUGUACAGGUUCAACCAAAUGUAAACAAGUUCACUAGGAUAAAAGUUUCAACAUGAAGAACACUAAGUGACAAUGAACAGCAUGAAACAACCCAUAUAAGAUGUAAACCCAACAGAAAGGCACAUGAAUCAUAAUUGCGUGAAUUGCUUCUUCUUUUCUAAUCAUAAUUAACCAAUUAUAUCAUCAAAUUUAAGCAGUGGAUAAAAUUCCUCACUGCUGCCAAAUGUUUACCUCUCCAGCAUUGAAAAUAAAUCUUUGUUUAUCAAAGAAAAGCAAGACAGAAGACGAAGUAUCUUGUGUAUCCAUCCCAGUCCCCAGAAUCUGCAAUCAUAGCAAGUAAGAAGAUAUCAAAUAUUUUUAACCACAAGACAUCUUGGAUACUUCAAACUUUUAAGCUAUGUUGGGUUCCCCAAAAUUUUGAAAGAAAAAGCAAGGGGAAGAAAAUACAGAGGAGAAGUAGAAGGAAAGAAAAUGAAGAAAAAUAAAAAAUAGAUUUAAAUGCAAUAAACUAUUUUUAUAUGUUACUUCAAAUUCAUUUCACUUAUUUUAACUCUUCUAUACAAAGACUAAAUAUUUUGAAAAUACAGAAGUUUCUAACUAAUUUAACUAUAUAUGAUUUUCUUUCAGGUUUUCCACUAACAAACCAAAUAUGAAAAAAUCAUUUUCUUUACCAUUUUUUUUCUUAAUAUUUUCCUGGAUUCAAACAUAGAAAUAAAUAAAACAAUCUCUAAAUCCUAGUAAAUGCCCCGCCAAAAUAAAAUAAUUUGCAAGUUGAAACAUUUUCCAACACCCUCUUCACUAAAAAGUGAAGACAAUAUCCUCCAAUAAACUAGUUCAUGGAAACACCAUUAUGUAUCGUUUGAUUACAGGGUUUAUCUUAUGCAAAUCAGGGACAGAAUCCUAAGGCAAUCAAAGUAUGUGUUUUUCUAGCAUAGUAGUAUCACUAACUGAGAUCCUGGACUCUCAAAAAAAAUUUCCCAAAUCACAGCCUUGUCCUAAGUUUACCGCUUCUCAGCACAGCCAAAUCACAGUAUGCUAAAAGCAAACUUCAUAAAAUUAUUCACUAAACUGGUAGUUGGGUUUCCCCAACUGGAGCAGGGAAAUCCUACUAGAUGACUUCGGUAUGUUAUUCCACGCAAUAAUGACAAACCCUUGUUUAAUUUUUGGUUGAUUGUAGACAAAACCACCACAAUAUAUUCUUUUGUGCUGAAAACUGAGAAAGCUCUCAUCUUUGAUAUUAUGAAACAACUAAAAUAUAUCAUUAGAGAAUUUAUUCAAGCCCGUCUAGCUCAGUCAGUAGAGCACAAGGCUCUUAACCUUGUGGUUACUUAUCAAAAAAUAAAGAUAGAAGAAGCUGAUUGAUACAGCUUACUUCCUAGAAAGCCACGUUCAAAAAUUUGAAAAAGAAGCCAAUUUCAUCAUCUUGAAGAUGUGCACACUUGUCCCAUUUGGAUUUGCUUUCGUAUGUGCCCAUUUGAAUUCACCCAUAUCCCAAAUUAACUAGAAAAUUUAAAACUUUGAAAUACUCUCCAGUGCAAGGAAGCACCUGUAAUUAAACCCCAAAAUCCAAAUUAGCUACCAAAGUUAACAUUGAGAACCCAAAUGAACAGGAGAAUGGAGACACAAAUUACACAGUACACAAUAACCAUUAAAGAAAGCUCACAAAGACAAAAACCAAUUCAGCCAAUAAUUGCACAUAAAUUUGAAUUUAUUUCAAAUAUUUCAGUAACCCAAUCCCAAUUCCCAAGUACCCCAAAAUUCCAUUACUCAAAUUAACCACAGAGUAGAGAAUUUUCCAAAUACCCGCUUCUCCGAGCCAUAAAAUACAGCAAACCUAGUCCACAACAUCACCAUUAAAGAAUCCCCAAUGUCAAAACCCAAAAAUUACCUGAACAUAGCAUAUGGUAUUGACAGGAUUGAGUUUCCGAGCUUUCAACUGAAGGGUCUUGGGCCUGUCAUUCUUGUCUCUCCCCUCAGCCCUCCUCUUGUUAAACCCAACAGACCCAGACUCAGUCUCCUCCGUUGACAUACCUUUGUCUCUCCUAUUAGUCUCCCUGAAAGAACUGCUAUUCCUUCUCCUCAGAUGGUGGGGGUGACGACGGAGUUUAGGAUACCUUCCAGACGAAGAAGAGAGGACAGUGAAGAAUGAAGGAGGAUUGAGAAGAGGGGACUUGGAUUUGGAGAGGGUGGAGAAAGAGAGAAAUGGGGAUUUAAAUGGAGAAAGGAGAGGAGAGCAGUACAGGAGGCGGAAGCUUGUGAGAUGGGGCAUUGUUUUUGAAUUGGAUAGGCAGAGGGUUUUAGGAACCCAGCACAAAACCCUCUCCUCCAGUCUCUCCGAAGAUUUGCAAUUUUUUUUUCCUUUUCAUUGACUUAUCAUCCAAACAUGCCCUAAAGUCUAAAUACCAUGAUGUCUCUACAUUUUUGAGAGGACAAUAUUUUCAUGGAAAAUUCUUCCUAACCUACUUUCCAUUUGUUCUUUCACUGAUCACAAUCUUUGACAUUUUUUCACAUCAUUCCUACAAAGUUAUCACAAGUAAUCUUAGUAAUGUCCAUUUGUCAAAAGCAAUUAGCAUUAUGGACUCCCAAAUUGUCCUUGGGUCUCUUCAUAUUAAAAUUUUUUAAGUCCAAUUUGUUAUGAAGUCUAAGUCACGGUAGUGUUUGUUUUUUGGUUGAACAUAAAAAGUCAAAAUAUUUGAUUUUUUCAAUUCAACUAAAAAUAACUCAUUAACAUCAACCAACAUAAUUAAACUAAAUUUAUUGAUAAUAAGUUUACUUUAAUUAUAUUAAUUAAUAUUAAUAAGGUACUUUUAACUAAAUAGAAAAAAUCAAAUAUUUUGACUUUUUCUAUUUAGUCAAAAAAUAAAUACCACAUAUCUCAUUCAAAAUUUUAGAGCUAAGUAGGGUGUUGUAUAUUUAACAUUAUCUUAAGCCAAACCCAACUUAUUUUGCAAUAGAGGCCUUUGUACGAUAAUUUUUUUGAGGAUUUGGUGAAACUUUUUCUGGUCUCCUUCUCUAUCAUUAGAUAGCUGCCACCCCUCAUCUUUUGACCAUCUUCUCAUUUUUUGGGGGUUUAGGGUUAGUCAAAAGAAGUGUAAUUGGUGUUGAGAGAAGAUAGGUGUUUAUGAUUGAAGCGGGGAAAGGGGCAUGAAAUUAGGAUGAAAUUAUAAAAAUGUCAUUCUUAAUGGUCAAUGAAUGAACAUUGCUUUAAGAUUGUGUUGUAGCAUUUGGUAAAUAUUAAAAGUAAUAAGGAUAAAAAAGGUAAAAAAAGUUGCAACAAAACUAUAUUUUGGCUUUUAUAAUAUAAAAAUUUAUGCUAUUUAAUAAAAAAUAUUAACAUAUUUAUAUUUAUUCUUAUCAUGAUAUCAAAAAUAAAUACUAAAAUACUAUAUUUUUAAUUUCUCAUAAUUAUUUAUAAAUUUAAUAAUAUAUGUAAAUUAUAUAUUUAUGAAAUCAUUCUAACAUCAUGGUUGUAUUAUAGUUGAAUAUUGACAUGAUCCUUGAAUUAUGAUUUAGUAACUUUUUUUAUUUAUGUGAUGAAAACAAAAGUAACAAUCAUUUUUUUGGUUGGCUUUAGGGAUUGAUUUUAAGGCUAUUUUCAAAAGUUGCUAUGCCUAAGAGUAUUAUUAUUAUUAUUUUUUGGAUGAGUUUAUUUCAGUCAUAAAUAUAUAUAAAAUAAAAAAAUAAUUUAUUUUAAUAAUAGAAGAAAUUGCACCAAAUUGACGGCAGGUAAAAUCAAUUUAAAAUAUAGAGUGAAAUAAUUUAAUAUAUCAUAAAUAAUAAUCAAUUAGCACUGCCACCACAAAGCUGGAAUAGCUCAGUUGGCUAGAGCGUGUGGCUGUUAACCACAAGGUCGAAGGUUCAAGCCCUUCUUCUAGCGAUUUGUUUUCCCAUUCCCAACCUUUCAUUAUGUUGACUUUUUCCCUCUCCUUUCCAAUCACUACCUUCCGCCCUGUUGACUUCUUCUCUCCCCUUUCCAAUCAUCACCUUCCAUUCUCUUGAUCAACGGUUAAGACCUAUCUCCUUAGGGUCCCCCACAUCACAAACAGAUAAGAUAAAUAUAAGAACCACCACACAAGCCAUCCUCCAACCCCAAAUGCAAAUAUCCAAUUAACCAUUACAAAACAAUCUCAAUCCACACCCCCUCUCCUCCCUCCACUUCUCUUCAAAUGGGUACUCUUCAACUCAACUCAUAUGGCCUAUCUUCUUUCUCACUCACCCAGAACUUCACCUCCAAAACCCACAAAACCCUUAAACCCUUCAACCCUCCUUCCUCCUCUAGACCCAAAAUCAAGGCCAUUGGGACCAUCCCAGAAAGCCAGUCACAGGCUACCCCAUCAGAUGAACCACCUUCCGUCAACUUUGCAUUUGUCAAUGUAAGUUUUGAAUUUUAACGGAUAGUUCUUUUGAAUUUUGUUUUACAUAUGCCCUUAGGCAGUGGCAACUUAGUAUGAAUUGUGGUUUGUUUUCAGUCAGUGUUGCUCCCUGAUGGCACCCCGGAUGUACAUUUCCGAUCAGCAUGUGGUGGCCAAAAACUUAGGGACAUAAUGUUGGAUUCUAACAUUGAUUUAUACGGACCGUAUGUACGUAUUCUUGACUCAUAUACGGUAUAUGUAUGUGUGUACCAUUAUGAUUUUGUGUGCUUUUGUACCAAGUGGUUUGGUUGUACAUUGGUUUUCAGGCUAGGCCUCUGUUAAAUUGUGGAGGAGGGGGAACCUGUGGGACUUGCAUUGUGGAGGUGAUUUUUAUGAAUUUAUAAGCAAUUUUGGAAUUUAUUUUAGAGGAAUUAUGCAAAUACAGUAGUGGGUAUUUAUGAAUUACCAUUAUUUCAUAUGAUAUAAACCCUACAUUCAAAUUUAGAGAUGGGUAUGUUACCCUAGGUCCUCUUUUCACAUGGUCCCUUUUCCUUUUUCUUGUUUAUAGGUUAUUGAAGGGAAGGAUCUCCUCACCCCACGGACAGACAAGGAGAAGGAAAAACUCAAAAGGGUAAUUAUUUUGACAAUUCCUAUAAACUUGAAUGAUAAACUUUCAGAAGUCAAUCUAAAUAGGGUCUUAUUAGAGUGCGUUUAGGAGUGAUUUUAGAAAAUUUUUUUAGCAUUUUUAAUACUUGAAUGAUAAAAAAUUUUAAGUGUUAGAAAGACUAAAAACGUUUUCUAAAAUUACUAUCCAACGAACUCUUAGUAUUGUUUGUCGAUAAGGUUAAUAAUAAAUUACCCUAAUACUAAUAUUAACUUAAUGAUAGCAAAGCUAUCUUAAUAGGUUGGCAUGAGAGCUUGAAGCUUAGAGUGUGAACAAGAACAGUUGAACAUGUAGACUACUAUCAUAAGACCCUUGUUGCAUUAGGUUUUUAUGGAGUAAAAGCUCUUUUGUGAUCUAAAAGGACUUAUGUUUGGCUAAAUGGGCUAUUGUUUGCAGAACCCAAAAACUUGGAGACUUGCCUGUCAAACCACAGUGGGCAAGGCAGACUCAAGAGGCCUGGUUUGUCAUUAGACUCAAGCCCACUUCUCAAAUCUUAGUUCAUGCCCAAUCAAAUUGCUUACUCCUUUUGGGUCUUAUGCAGGUGGUGAUCCAGCAACUUCCCGAAUGGAAAGCCCAUGAAUGGACUUAUGAAAAAGAAUUGCCUUCGGAAACUUGACAACAGUUUUCUUUUCUUCUUUCUUUCUAAUCAUGUAAAUUUAAUAUAAUUUGGAAUACAACUUUGAGAUUUUUUUUUUUUAAGUUUUUAUUUUAGCAUGACAUGCAAUGGAAAUAUGAAGGGUGAAUGGAAGGUUAAAAAUGGAAAUGAAACAAAGAAUUUAUAUAAGCCCGUGUUGUUUGAAUUUGAGAGCUACUCAAUGAUAGUAAUGGAACGAGUUUUUUCAAAUACAUGUCUGAUCCGUCUCCAAUGAGAAGAGUUUGGGAUAAAGAUAAACGAGUUUAAGGUAAGUUUAAUAAAAUUUUAAAAACCUGGGAUGAGUUCAAGAUGGGUUCGAUAUGACUUUGUCUUGUCACAUCCCUCAAUUAUAUAUAAUUUUAAAUACAAAAUUAAUUUUAUUGAUUUUUUUCAUUUUCAACUUUUUAAACAUAAAUAAAAUAUUAUUUUUUAUAAAAAAAAAUAAAUUGUAAAUAUUUACAAUAUUUUUAUUUAUAAAUUAUAUUUAUUUUAAAAAUAAAAAUUUUGAAAAAGUUCAAAAAAUUUAAGUGGGCUAAGGCGGGGCAGGGUGGGUACAAGAAUUUCCUAUACUCACCUUGCCUCACCCCGUCUCAUCUCAUUUAUUUAUUUUUUAUUUUGAUAAUAAUGGAAAUAAAUAUAAAUAAAUGGGACAAAGUUGAGAUAAGGUAACCCAUACUAAACUUGUCCCAUUGUCAUCCUUAGAACUACCCCUAUUCAAAGGCUUCCAAUAUCUACCGUUGUUCCUAGAAUCAACUUAAGGAAGAAAAAGAACUUGAAGAGAAAAUCCAUGUCAAAAGGAUUCAACUUUGUCUCAGUGAACAGUUUUGUUAUAAAUAUUUGUGUCCUAAUCUAAAUAAAUGUACACAUAUUGCAAAAUUAUAAAUUAAGCUGAUUGCAGUAAAAAAGUCUAAACAAGCACUUGGUUAUAUUCCAUCACAUAGCAUUAUUAUCUUUUGGUUCCAUUUCAAUUGGCUUGUAAGAUGAUCUAUUUGGAGCAAAGACUUUUAUACUUGAUUAGAAAAUUCUCCUAGAAGUUUAUUAUAACUUAUAUAAUAAGUCAUAAUCAAACUUAAUAAUCAAGCAAAAAAAAAAGCUCCACUACACACAUCUUUCAUCUUAUUUUGAUGUUAACAAUUCAUUUUAGAUGUGACAUGGUGCAUUUCCUCUUUCUUUUUAUUUCUUUCUUCUUCUUUUUUUUUUCCUUACUUCUAGUAUGGAUUUUUAAUUUUCAAAUGGUCUCACUCCUUUGAAUAAUCAAUAGCCACCUUUGAUUAUUGAAAUUUUCCCACCUUAGAAAAGUAUGUUUUCCCCUCAAUACAAACAAACCUAGCCCAUACAUCAUGGAUGGUAGUAUGAUACCACUUGCUUUAAGAAAGAAAAAUUCUUUAAAAUAUAUCAUUUAGAAACUAUUUUCAAAUGUGAAUUGAAAAUCAUCUUUUGAAAUGAUAAGUUUUUAUUUUAUUUGUUCUAUUUUAAAUCCCCACUAGGCUUCCCUGUAGCCAUUAUUGGCAUACGUUCAAAGGAGGUUGGUUACAUUAUUAGCACAUAGGUGGGCCACACUACUCCACUCCACAACAAAACCCACAAGGGAAAAAAAACAAAAACCUAGAAAGCAAAGUGGCUGCACAUCACCAACCUCAUUCAUAUGCAUAAUUGCAUCUUUUACACAGCUUGAACCAAAGCAAGGGCUUUACAAAUCCAAAAGGGAGAGAAUCGAAGAAGAUCAAAGAACAAAAUACAAGUACAAAAAGAAAGAAGUAGCACAACUUGCUCUUCCUCCUUUUUAUUUCAAAGGGAAAUGGGUUGAGACAACAACAAACAAUUGAGUUCCUGAAAAAAACUCAGCUUAGAAUUCGCUGGACGCUAGUGGUUGAUGAUCAGAGCCCAUGUACAUAAUUGCAUAGACAGAUCCUCCCAUGCCACCUCCAAUUAGGGGUCCCACCCAGUAGAUCCAGUUGUCCUUGAAGUCGCCGCUGACGACGGCGGGGCCGAAGGAGCGGGCGGGGUUCAUUGAUCCACCGGAGAAUGGGCCUGCAGCCAGGAUGUUUGCACCUACAACAAGACCUAUGGCAAUGGGUGCAAUGAUGCCCAGUGAGCCCUUCUUCGGGUCAACCGCCGUUGCAUAGACGGUGUAGACCAGAGCGAAAGUGAUCACGAUCUCGAAGACAAUAGCAUCAAUGACUCCAACCCCAGCUCCAAGACUAUGGACGGGAGUCGUCUGCCACAAAAAAAAAGAAAAAAGAAAAAAAAAAGGCCAUUUAUAAUUAGGGUUACAUUGAACUUCACCAACCAAAACCCAAUCUCAAGGAACCUAUAGGGUUCAGGAAGGACAAUCUUUCUAAUUCAAGAAGGAGCUUUAACCAUAGCCCCAAACUUACCAAGCCUCCUGUGACAAGUUUGAGUAGGAAACAUGCAAGAAUGGAGCCAACAAGCUGGGCAAUCCAGUACAAGAUGCCAGUGAGAAUGGUGAUCUGACCACCAACAACCAGCCCGAAGGUCACCGCAGGGUUAACAUGGCCACCGGAGAUGUUGGCGCUAAUAGCGACUGCAACAAAGAGAGCGAAACCAUGGGCAACAGCAACCGCCACCAGCCCCGCCGGGUCAAGAGCAGCGUCUGAUGUCAACUUGUCUGCCAAAGAAAGAAGAAACCCUCAAUUAUACUGAUCCAGUUUAUCAUUGACUAGUCCUUACAGAUGUUUAUAGUGUAUG
rnacentral:lncRNA from 1 species